UGGUUAACCGGCACACUAACUCGUAUUUAACAAGGUAGGCAAAGGGUAACUUAAUGUUUAUCAUAGUAUCGAUGGAGCGUGUGUGGUUAACCGACACAUCGAUUGAGCGGUAAACACUUAAGGGUACCAAGUAAUUUGCAUGGUUACUUCACACCUUGUUUUGUGAUCCUCGACAUCCCAGUUAGAAAACCUGAAGGGCACACUCGAGAUUGAAACAUGCCAUUGAAAGUUCAAUGAAUCUCAAAGAUCUAGGAAUUUCAAAUCUAAUUAAAACCUAAUUUAUUAUUUAGUUUUUCAUGGUGGAAAUUGGUGAAUCGUCAUUCACCUACCUUCAAAUAUUAUAUAACUUGGAUUACGGCAUCCCUCUUCCAAGUUAUAAAAUAGUUUGUUGGGUCCUAGCCUUAAUAUUUCAUAUUGGGUGUCAUAUUAAGGACUUUAAAUCAACUAUCUUGAAUAUCUCCCAAGAGAUGUCAAGUUCAGACAUCUAUGAUCUUCCCAAAUAUCUUGGAACUUCACUUCCUCCACAUCCUCCAAUUAUUCUCCCUAACCUACAAGUUCAAGGUCACUCAAGCCCUAUUCGCAAGGCAAGGUCUAGGUGUGAUCACAUCUUGGAGAUGAAGUCACAUACUGACAAGCCGGGAGAGUUGGGUGUCAAAGUCUUGAGAAAGUUGGUGGUUCAAUCACUUUCUAAGUCACAUAGUGAGUUCCUUUGGGACACCUAUGAAACAGACUAUGACAAGACCCUUAAUGAUCUUAUCUAUUUGCUAAGAUCAACUUCCUAAAACUUUAUGGACAUUGACAAUGAUGACAUUGGAUAUCCAGUAAAGCUCUCUCUUCCCAAUGGAAAGGGAUCGGCCAUAGUCAACUCGAUUGACCAAAUGGUAAAGAGAAAAGCUAAGUCUGUGAUAAUCUCGUGUACCAUUACCAAAGGAUCCAUACGUUUAUAUUUCCAAUGGAAGGGGCUUUGGUUAUGAAGCUUCCAAACUUACCUAAGGAUGGUAAAGUCAAUACAUUUGACUUUAUUUCAGGUAAAUUCCAUUGUCUAACUCUAUUAAAUUCCUACUUGGAGAUUCUUAUUACAUGAUGUGGCUGGGUCACAUGUUAAUAUUUUAAGAAUCAAAGAAAAGUAAAGAAACUUAAAGGAAGCAUAUGCUGAUUCUGAUCGCGAAUAUGGAUCGCAUGGUUCCGUAAUCAAAAUUUUGAGCAUUUGCUUAAGAGUUAUGAUAGAUUGCUUAGGAAUAGAUGACAACAAGUUUUCAUAUACAUUUGCAUUGUAAGGAUUAGUUUUUCUGCAAAGUUUUAAAAUAAAAGAAAAGUUUUUAAUUUUAUUUAUUUUUAAAUAUCCUUACAAUGGCAUUUGUAGAAAAAGGAAAAGAUGUUGCUUAUAUGAUUCCAUUGAUAGCAAUACUAGAAAUAUGAAUUCGAUUCUUUCAUUUGUGGUAAUGUCUAAAUUUACCAAAUAAGGAAAGAUUCUCAUCACCCAAGUUUCAAUUGGACCGGAACUUGGAAUCAUGCAAGUUGUAUUGCAUGAUGAAUGAGAACUUUCAAGUAUUGAAAAAUUAAGACGAAUUACUUGUUCACAUGGAUGUGUGAGUCAUGUAAAUGACUAAGGGAUCGAGUACACAUUCUUGUGCACUGGUCAGGUCCACCAUAAAAGAUCGAUAAGAUUAUUCGUCAUAAUUUACUAAAGCUCAGUAAAUAUGGUUGUACUUACAAGCUUAAGUGCAAUUCUGAGACAUUGGAAAAAGGUUCCAAUAAAUGGCAGAGCGAAUAAGAAGAAUCAAUCUUGGCAGAAGGAUAAAAUAUUCUCAAAUCUGAAAAGAUGGGAGAGUACUUUAGUAUCAAUUUUUAUGAUCAUCUUAAUGAUUUAGAGACCUUAUCACAAUUCAUCCUCUAAGUGCCUUCUUAUAGCUAAGAAGAGGAGCUAUGAAUUGUUGAAGUGGUUAAAUCAAGAAGAUGAGUCAUACUUCGUUCCAAUAAAAGUCUUAGAGUAAUACUCCAAGAUCGUAACUUGAGUGACAUGUCUUAAAGAAGGUUGAAAACACUUGUCAAAUGUAAGAGUAAAAGUUUCCUACUCUUGUAUAUUUGAAAUUGGUAAGUUGUGAUGUUUUGGAUAAAACAAAGACCAACUUAGGCCAAUUUUGUGAAAGUGUUUGUCUUGAGUAGAAUCCACACUACCUCUUGAAUAUUUGACAAGAGAGUCUUAUAUGUCAAGAGGACAGUGGGAGUCUUAAAGGUACUUGAAAGUCUCAAGAACUAAUCAAGAAUAAAACCUGAAGUUCUUCACUAGCACACGACUUGAGGUUUAUAACCUAUCGUGUUGACAUAUUCUGUGCCCAUUCCAAUUAAAGUUGGCUUUGCAUAUGAGUUCUUAGAGUUCUCAAUUGGUUGCACAAGAAAUUGGAAGCAAUGGCAGGCCCUUGAGCUGCCAGGUGGCAAGAAAUUAAGAUUGCACAAGUUCAAUCCAUAUGAGUUAGAAUUUGUCACUAACCUAGUCUUGUGAUUAUGGUUUGACAAAUUCACAUGGAUAGGAACACUUACACCAUAAAAUCUAAGUGUCAUAAGUUUUCUCUUCGAUUCAUGAAAAUGAUGGUAAGGAAACUCUUUCACUAAGUAGAUUUUAAGUAGAUAGCAAUUGUGAUAUUUGCAGUUCUCAAAGUCGUUAGUGGAGCGUGCGUGGUUAACCGGCACACUAACAUUGACUUAUGAGAAAUGGCAAAAGGUCUAAACAAUUGAGACUAUGAUUACGGCAUCCCUUCUCAUAGUUCUGAAAUUGUUUAGACACACCUGUGAGCUAUCUAAGAUAAGGUGUAUGAUUUUGAUAAAGUUUUAUCAAAGCAAUCUAGUAUCAGAAAUCUGAACUUUGGUAAGAAAGUCAAUAAAGUAUUGAUUUCUAGAAGUCCAGCUGAUUUCUGAGUACAUGUCAAAGCUAGUGGGAGCAUAAGUGUUAUGCUAAUAAUCAUCAUGUUAGUGGGAGCAUGAUAAUUAUGAUAAGUAUUGCAAGUUAGCAAUGUUAAUUAUAGAAAACAAAAGUUUCAAUUGGGAAAGAGUUGUUUUGCUAUAAUUAAGGGAGAGGAAAUUAUACUUCAUCUCAAAUCUAUAAGCUUAGAUUGUGAGGUUUUAAUCAUUUAGUCAAGGAUAUAUAUAUGAAUUUCAUGUUGGAAUGGCUCAACAUAAGGAAAUUCUGUAUAUGGGUCCAUUAUUUGCGUUCUAAAAUUCGAUUAUGAUUACGGCAUCCCUUUUCAUAAUCUGAAUUAUGAGAACUUGGCAAAUUGAAAUGGAAAUAUUAUAGCAAAAGACUGGUUUAGUCUUUAUGUGAGACAUCAUGAAUCGUGUCCCAUAUGCUUCGGAUAUAGGAUCGAUUACAUGUGCUAUAUUCAUCCGUUCUAAAAUUUUCCAAAUGCCUGGGGCAUUAAGAAGGGAAAAGGUUUAGAACUGGAUAUGACUAAAAGGAUUAAACAAUUGUCGAGGACAAUCUAAGGUUUACCAAAGAUUGGUUGCUCAAGGACAAUUGGAAGUAUAGUGAUAAUUCUGGAAGGACCAUAUUGACAUAAUCUGUAAGGAGGCAACUCUUGUUCAGAAGUGAUAGUCAAAAUGGAAUCUGGAAAUGUUUCAAAGUUAGAAUUUUCAAUCUGUGUAAGAUUAAGGAAACUUAAUGCAAGAAGGAUAUUUCCAAGGAGUUGAUCUCCUUUGGAAUACUCUGUAAUGAUUGUUGCCAAGUCUUUGUGACUUUGUGCAUAAUCAUUACAAGAGGAUCAAUGCAUAUAAGUUUAGAAUCUAACAGAUUUCAGUAAAUGGCAUGAAUUUGGAAUUCUUGCAUUUGCAGUAAGGAUUUGGGAGUGUGAAAAGAGAAUCAUUGAAGUUAUGUUCAAUUGAUCUAGUUCACAAAGUAAAGAUCAUAGACAAACAUAGUAUGCAUACUUGGUGUGUGGCAUGACUAGUGUUUAAGAAAACAUAGUGUACAUGCUUGGAGCAUGGGACAACUAUUGUUUUAAAUUCAAGAAUAAAGUUGAUAGCUGAAACAGUAUACAAUGAAUAAUGUGUAAUCAUAUGGUGAUAAAUAAAAGGUGUUUUAUUUAUGUUCAAAGGGUUGAUACCAUAUUGGAUUCAAUUAUUAUUGUGUUUCAUUUUGCAUGUUUUGACUUCCCGAAUAAACUGGGUUAUUCUUCCGGAAUGACUAAGUUAUUCAAACCAUCCACAGUCGGUCAUAUGUUGGAAGUAGAUAUGAAUUAAGACUGUCAUGGGUUGGCUUGUAGAGGUCUAAGGUGUUGGACAAAGGGCUACAACACUCAUGAGUGCUCAUAAGUUCUGAGUAUUGGAUUCAACCCGCGCUCAUUGGAAUCACUUCAUGGAUUUUAUCACGAGUGAUCAUGAGACGAUAAUAUCUUAUAUUCUUCAAACCUAGAGAUAUGAGUUGUUACUAUGAGUUGAUAGUACAUUGAUUGCACGAAAACGCAUUUGGUAACUCGGUGCUAUAAAACGUGCCUUUGUGUAUGAUUCAACAAGUAGUAGAACAAGCCAUAUGAGUCGAAGUUUAUCCAUUCCUUUUACCUUCGGGAUAAAAGCGAUAUCUGUGGGCCCCUCGAUGAUUUGAUGAUGACAAAUGGAAGUGCUCGGCCGGGCCAGGACUGAUUUGAUUUGUUCAAUUAGUCAGUCGUCAUAAAUCGGAAAUCGGGAAACAACAAAUGGACAGAGAGAAUGAUUAUAAUCCAUGUCUCAGUCCAUAUGAUAUCUAGAAUGGAGGAAUAUAUGAUCCCUUAUCUAAUGGACAAGUUCGUUGACAAGAUCAGAGUUCGACAGUGGCUUUAAGAGCUACGAUUGCCAGUUAGGUUUUGAAGUCAUACUCAAUAAUAGCUUUAGACUUAUCCAAGUGGGAGACUGUUGGAUUAAUGUCUAAGUCCAUAACUAUAUUUGGUAUGUACUUGACCCGACCCGGCAUGGUCCAUUUGGGUUGCACUUCACCGACACAAUUUAUAUGGAUAGUCUUUUGAGAAUAGUAUAUUUAUGAUUUAUAUUAAUAUAUUAUAAGUUCUAAUAUAUUAAUAUAUAAUCAUAUUAUUUAAUUAGUAUUGAUCAAGAAUUAAUUUAUAAUUAAUUAAGUGAUCAAAAUGAACUAAUUAAAUAUGGACUCUUAUAUAUAUGGAAUGGGCCAAGUUCAUUUAGGUUGGGCUAAGCUUUUAUGGAUAGUCCAUGGAGCGUCUAACCCAUGGAUCAUAUGAAAUGAAAGGUCACGGGUUUGACCCUAGUAUCCAUACUAUAUAAAGAUGUUCUUGGUUGGUGAAAUAGGCACCAGUGUGGUACACUGAGAAGGGCUAGCCGAUUUCACUAGAGAGAACCAAGUAUCCAUAUUCUCUAAAGUCUUCCAAGGUGUUUUGGUGAUUUGUGAUUCCACUUGAGGCUUCCACACUAUUGGGGCUAAGCUCUUAAAGCUUGAAGACAUCAAGCUACAUCAAAAGGUAUGUCAUCUAACUAGAACUUUGUAGUAUAAGAACUUCAUAAUAUUCUAGUUAGGAUUAAAGCCUUGGAAACUUCUUAUUUGCAUGUAUAAUAGAGAAAACAUAGAUCCAAGGUUUAGAGGGUUGCAUGUACACCAUAGGAGUGUUAGAAUGCUCAAAACCCAACAAAAACAUGCAAAAAGAAAUAAUAGUAAACGAUUGACAAGAGAUAGCAACACUUCACUCAUAAAUAUCAUCCUUCAGCCCUAUACUCCGAGCAUGCUGGAGAUGCUUAACCCGAGUUAGUCCCUUCGUGAGGGGAUCUGUUGGGUUCUCAUCCGAUGAUACCCUCUUUGCCACGCGGAAUCCUUCUUCUAUUCGAUGCCUGAUGAUGUGAUAUUUUAUGUCAAUGUGUCUGGAUCUCCCAUGAUCUCUUGGUUCCUUGGCUAAGGCAACCGAACUAUUGUUGUCAUAGAAAAUCUCCAUUGGCUCUUUUAUAGUUGGUACAACUCCAAGGUCUCCGAUGAAGUUCUUUAGCCAUAUAGCCUCCUUUGCUGCCUCGCUUGCUGCUAUAUACUCUGAUACACAAGUGGAAUCAGCCACUGUCUCCUGCUUGGAACUUUUCCAAGUAAUUACCCCUCCGUUUAGGGUAAAGACCCAACCUGAAUGAGAGCGAAAAUUAUCCUUAUCAGUUUGAAUGCUAGCAUCACUAUACCCUACAAUCUCAAGUCAUCACUCCCACCAAGGGUAAGGACCCAGUCCUUAGUCCUUCGCAGGUACUUGAGAAUAUUCUUUACUGCUGUCCAGUGAGCCUUGCCAGGAUUCCCCUGAUAUUUGCUGAUCAUGCUCAAAGCAAAGGCAACAUCAGGGCGAGUACAAGUCAUAGCAUACAUGAUCGAGCCAACAGCAGAAGCGUAUGGUACACGACUCAUCUUAGCUAUCUCAGCAUCUAUAUUCGGACUCUGAGUCUUACUCAGUCUGGCAUUCCACUGGAUAGGUAACUCACCUUUCUUGGAGUUAUGCAUGUUGAACCUUUUCAACACUUUGUCCACAUAGAUACUUUGACUAAGUCCAAUUAGUCUUUUACUCUGUUUCUCAAAAUCCUUAUCCCUAGGAUAUAGGCAGCUUCUCCAAGGUCCUUCAUAGAGAAACACUUCCCAAGCCAGGACUUUACUUCCUGCAGGGUUGGGAUGUCAUUUCCUAUGAGUAGUAUGUCAUCCACAUACAGUACCAAAAAGCUGACUAUACUCCCACUAGCCUUGAUAUAGACACAAGAUUCAUCUUCACUCCUUGAAAAGCCAAAUUCUUUGACUUUCUCAUCGAAGCAAAGAUUCCAUUUGUGAGGUGCCUGUUUAAAUCCAUAAAUGGAUUUCUCGAGCUUACACACUCUAUUGGGGUACUCUGUACUGACAAACCCAUCUGGCUGAACCAUAUAAACAUCUUCAUCCAACUUUCCAUUAAGAAAAGUGGUUUUGACAUCUAUUUACCAUAUUUCGUAGUCAUGAAAUGCAACAAUGGCUAACAGAACCCUAAUAGACUUAAUCUUGGCCACUCGUGAAAAGGUCUCUUCACAAUCAACUCCCAAAGUUUGAGAAUAACCCUUUGCAACCAGUCGUGCCUUAUAAGUGUGUACAUUACCAUCCAUGACGGUCUUCUUCUUGAAGAUCCAUUUGCAUCCAACUAUCUUACGAUCAGGUACAUCGUCAACCAAGUUCCAAACUUGUUUGUCAUACAUGGACUGUAUCUCGCUGUCCACAGCCUCUUUCUAUUUAGCAACCUCAGGUCUGCAUGGCUUCUUUGUAGCUGUUAGGUUCAUCCAGAUUUACCAGUGUGUUAUCACUAAUAAGUGUUUCAUCUUCUGCAGUAAUAUGGAAACCAUAAUAAUGCUCAGGUGCAUUCCUAACUCUAGUGGAUCUCCUCAGAGGUAUAGAUUAUUCAGUCGGCUCAACAGGAGUUUGCUCCUCAGGUUGAGGGCUAGGGUAUGAGGUUCCUUCACCACUUCACUCUUGAAUUUUUUCAAGGUCAAUUUUCCUCCCACUGUCUCCUUGGCUUAUGAAUUCUCUCUCUCGAAAGAAUCCUCUUCUUGCUACAAAGACCACAUUAUCAUCGGGUCUAUAGAAGAUGUAACCAAAGGAUUUCUGUAGGUAGCCGAUGAAAAUACACCUUUCACUUCGGGGUUCGAGCUUAUCGUGAGUCUCGCGUCUCACGAAAGCCUCGCAACCCCAAAUCCUAAUGUGGUCUAGAUUGGGAACUUUUCCAGUCCACACCUCAUGAGGUGUUUUGUCAACCCUCUUUAUAGGGACUAGAUUAAGGAUAUGGGUGGCAGUCUCUAAGGCAUACCCCCAAAAUGAGAUUGGUAGUGAAGCUCGACUCAUCAUGGAAUAAACCAUGUCCAACAGGGUCCGAUUGUGCCUCUUAGAUACACUAUUCAACUGUGGUGUCCUAGGAGGUGUCAAUUGUGAGACAAUCCCACAUUCCUUAAGAUAGUAAAGGAACUCAGUACUAAGACACUCACCACCAUGAUCGGAUCGAAGCAUCUUAAUGUUUCUACCCUACUGAUUCUCCACUUCUUCCUUAAACUCUUUAAAUUUCUCAAAAGUUUCUGACUUAUGCUUGAUUAAGUAGACAUAUCCAUAUAUACUAAAAUCAUCAGUAAAAGUCACAUAGAAGCGAUUAGCAUCUCUUGUGGCGGGUCUGAAGGGGCCACACACAUCCAUGUGUAUGAGAUCCAAGAAACCUUCACCCCUAGCACAACUUCCAGUAAAAGGUGACGUUGUCAUUUUACCAAGAAAACAAGAUUCACAACUAUCAUCUGACUUAGGUCAAAUGACUCCAAGACUCCAUCCUUUUAGAGUUGGCUUAUGCGUUUCUUGCUUACGUGUAAAAGACGACAAUGCCAUAAAGAUGCUUUAUCUAAGAUAGUGGAAGAUUCAAUACACAAUACAUUAUUUCCUAGAUUAUCUACAACAGAUAUAGUUUCAUACACACCAUCACAAGGUAAUGCUUCAAAAUAAAGAACAUUAUUAAAGAAAGCAUCAAUACUACCAUUAUUAUUAUCAAAAUAAAAGGUAAAACCUUGUUUAUACAAUGCAUGAAAGGAAAUAACAUUUCUUGCCAUUUAUUGUGAAUAAUAACAUUUAUUCAAAUCUAAUGUAAACCCACUAUUUAGCACUAAGGAAUAAACACCUAUCUUGGUGACAGGUGAAUCUUUCUUGUUUCCCAUGAUCAAGUUAUCUUUCCCAGGUCUACAUUCUCACUUCUUCUUAGUCCCUGCAAAUUACAACAUAUGUGAAUACCACAACCUGUAUCAAGAACCCAAGACUUAGAAUGAGAUGAGUUAUUAGACAAUAUAGUGUAUAUACCUGCAUGGUUGGGUUUCACUUUCCCAUCCUUCAAAUCUUGCUAGUACUUUGGGCAGUUUCGCUUCUAGCGCAACUUUUCAUGGCAAUAGAAGCAUUCAGCCUCAUUAGGGUGAGCAGAAGGAGUGACAAAACCUUUCUUGGUUUUUCUUGAAGAGAAACCUUCAAGGGUCUUACCCUUGGUACCCUUAGAAGGGUUCUUUCUCUUCUUCCCUUUGCCAUGCCCGAUUGCUAAGACAUCGGCCGCAGUUGGAGUAGAAGUAGGAGUAGUAACAACCGACUUACCCUUUAGACCACUUUCAGUGGUCUUCAAGAGUCCUUGAAGUUUGCUGAGGGUGACUUCUUCCUUGUUCAUGUGAUAUGUCAUGCGGAAUUGAUCAUAACAUGAUGGCAAGGAGUGCAAAAUGAUGUCUAUUGCUAACUCCUUGGGGAAGUUCACAUUCAGCUUUAGUAAACGGUCCACAUACCUUUGCAUUUUCUGCAUAUGGCCCGUGAUGGGUUCACCAUCCUUCAUUCGGGUUGUUAUCAUGGAGGAGAUUAUUUCAUAUCGCUUUUGACGAGCACUUUAAUGGUAGCGGUCCAUCAAGUCAUGGUGCAUCUCAAAAGGAUAAUAGUCCUCAUAGGUCUUUUGGAGCUCGGCUGUCAUGGUGGCCAUCAUGAUGCAUGCCACUUUUAUAGCAUCUCUUUCAUGUACCUCAUAUUCAGCAAGCUCUUCAGGAGUAGGAUUUAACUCGGGUACCUUCAGCUCCUUCUCGAGAAAUAUUUUUUGUUCUCAUACCGAGUGACCAUCAUGAUGUUUCUGAUCCAAUCUGUAAAGUUGGACCAAUCAAAGAUGACUCUCCCGCAAAGAUUCAUGAGAAAGAAGGAGCUAGUAGGGUCUGAGCCAGAAGCAUUGUUAUUGGAAGACAUCUGAAAAGAAGAGGGAAUAGAUUAUAUUAGAUUUAGAGAUAGUCCUUAAUAAAACACCUAAAUGUAAUAUUAAGGCUAGGACCCAACACAAUAUUUUAUAACUUAGAAGUGAGAUGCCGUAAUCGUGUUCUUGGCCUUUUGGGUACCUUUCAAGCUUCCAACUAGUAAGUACUCCUAUCCUAGAGUAUUGUAAGGCUUGUUAUACUUCUUUACAUCAAAGAAACAAAAGGAAACACAAAGAUCAAAGGUGUUUAUGGUUCAAGAACUCCUUGAACCGUAAACCUUUCUUUAAGGGCCAAAAGUGUGCCUUAGUCCCUUCCUUCCUUGUGAAACUAGUCUAGAUCCACUCCUUAUUGUGUAUAGGUCUUGAAAACAUGAAAAUACCAUUUUACAUAUGGGUUUAAGGUAGUAAACCUUGAGGCCGUAAACUCCUCAAAGGAGUUUAUUGAUGCCCUAAUCUCUUCCAAAGGCCUAACCAUCAAGUAGAAAUGCUUCAAAGGACUUGUAGAACCUCAAAACAACUUAUGGUCAUAGAGUGAUGAGUUUACGACCGUAAAAUCAUGAGUUUACGACCGUAAAGUCAUUGGGUUAUGGUCAUAAAAACCGUAAACUCCAAAUGAGUUUACCCUUGAACCCCAAACACAAUAGCAAGGUCCUUUAGCACUUAGAUGCAAUCCUUAUGACUUGUAGCACUUAUAUAAGGUGUUUUACAUGCCUUAGGAUGUCUUAACUUUGUCAAUUAGUGGUUUAAAGUCUAAUUGGAUACAUAUAUGUGUGAUUAUAUGUUAACAAGGAUCAUUGAGCGUGAACAAGUCUUUACUUGUCACCUAGCUAUCCUACAUUAUUCAGUUCAUCCAAACCACCAUCUAUAGGUGAGUUCAUACCCCUUAAUCAAUGUUUUAAAUGAUUUUAAAUGCUUUAAUGGGGGGGGGGAUACAAGUAUAAAACAACAUGUUAAUGAAUUAAUCACAUGUGAUUUAUAACUGUGUUUUAAUCCAGUUGAUUUCACAUACUUCAAAAUGUGAUGCAUGAAAUGGUUUUCUAUCUUAAAAAUACUUUGUUAUCAAAUGUAUUACUUUUGAAAUGUUUAUUAAAAUGAAAUCAAGUCAUUGUUAUUUGUUUUUGNAUUCAGUUCCCACACUCUUGUGUAGCAAGGGUGAAUAAACCUUCUUGGACAUCAAUUACCUUCCAGUAAACUAUUAUAGGGAUAGUUUAGGGGAUACAAAACAUUAUUCCUAUUACAAGGAAUUACACUAGAGUCAGUUCAUUCAUGAGUCUAUACUAAAUGCUAUAUGAAGAGUUACACUUACAUGGAUACAUUUACAUGGUUACACUUACAUGGACACUUAUACCUAGAUACUAUAUGAUGAGGUACUAUUACAUAUCAUAGUUGUAGUUUAGUUCUGUCUAUCCUAGUACAAAAGGAUACUAUACGGGACUAACCAUUCUGGCACCCACCUGUUAGCAACAGAGGUAAUGAACAUCUACGGAUGCCUACGUUUAAUACUUAUACUAGGGGUACCUUUACGAGACUAACCAUUCCUUCAACCUGCUGUUAGCUACAGGGGAAAAUGAACAUCUACGGAUAUUCAAGGUUAAUACUUUUCGGUAGUCGCGAUGUCGUGUUUAUCCUAAUACAAAAGGAUAAUACUUAUAUGACUAUAUUUUCCCUAUUACUUUUAUUUUGUGAUACAUUCACAUAAACGAAGAGGUAGACUAUAUAUUGUUAAUAGUAGUCAUAAAGGGGAAAAAACAUAUUUGUUACAGCAAAACAUUCAGGUCUUGGUAGAAGACUACUUUCAAAACAUUUGGGUCUUGGUAGAAGACUACUCUUAUACUAGUAGGAAAUAUGGGAUUUUCUAGGGUUUUCAUACUUAUAUCAAAUGUUUCAUUCAAUUCUUUACAUGGAAUUCAUAACAACUUUCCAAAAUAGGGUAAUGACACUUAAAUACUUAUGAAUUCACCAGCUUUAUGCUGAUAAACUCUUUCAAAAUAACUUGUAUUCUCAGGUCACCAGUAGACAGGUACGAUGACCAGGUUUUGAGAAGACGGAGCACAGACAGGACUCGUCUUUUAUUUUGAUUACAUAUUUUGGUGUCUUAUUGCUAUAAAAGAACACACAUGUAUUAAAACUUUACUUUUAAUGAAAUGGAUGAUGAUGUUGCUUGUUUGCUACUUUACACUAUUAUGAUACUUCGGAUGACGUCCUCCACCCCUGAACGUUUUCGCCGUUCUUGGUUUUGGGGUGUGACACCAUGAGCAACAGGACGAUCAGCGAAGAGAAUUGUCAAGUUGUGAUUGUCAGCAAAUUUGAGUUGUGCCAUUUCUAUCUGCACUAAACAAAUCCAAGUGAGAAAACAAUUUAUUUAAACAUUUAAAAUUGAUGUUUUACUCAUGUUUGCAGUUUAAUUAGGCUCUUAAAUGAAACAAAUGAAGAAAAGUCAAAUUUUGUUGAUCAAAACUGAGUUUACAGUCAAAGGGAGUUUACGGCUGUAAACUCAUGGCCAUAAACACCUGGCCGUAAACACCGGUCAUAAACUGCCUGGCCGUAAACACCGACAUUUCAAAUUUUCUUCGAUUAAAUCCUCAAUACAUGACGAUUUGAUGCGAGAAUGGCUUAUUGAGGAUCAGAAUUAGCAUACCUUCACAUUGAACUUUUCAAUUUCAUGAGAAGACACGAAAAAAAUUUUAGAGAGAGAGAGAGAGAGAGAGAGAGAAAGAAGGAGUUUGCGGCCGAAAAAUCGAAAAUGAGGAGUGGUGGAGUUUUUGGCUGGAUAUGAACCUUAUAUACCCUGUCCAAAUACAAUGGGCUGCAAUCCACAAUGCAUAAAAUAAAGUCCAAUACUCAAAAAAAAUUUAAAAAUAAAACAUUUUCAGGAAAAAAAUAAAUAAAAUAAAAUAAAAUAAAAAUAACAUGAAACAAUUUUUUUUUAAAAACAAACUAAAAUUUUUAAUAAUUGAAAAAAAAUGAAAAUUAAAAUAAAAUAAAAAUUAAAUUGAAAUUAAAAUUAAUUAACACUAAUUGUACCUUAACUAAUACUAAUAAAAUUUUGAUGCUAUUGGGAUCAAAGUUGUUAGACAACCUUAAUCCACUUAUUGGUACUUCUACCUUCAUGUCCAUGUUUGGUCGAUCGCUGAUAUUGUGGUCCACUUAAACACGAAAGGUUGUGAUAAAUUUAUGACAUAUUAUAAGUGGCAAGUCUUCAGAUCCUAUGAAGUUAGAUAAAAUUCCUAAAAGACCAUUCAGUUUACGACGACCAAGGAUAUUGUUGUCCACCUAAAUUGAGUAGCAAGAUCUACAAACAACCUACAAAAUGUUCAAUUUUAGUUAUAUUAGAACGUGUUUCCCGCUUCCUGAUAUACCCCAAUAAUCAAGAUCUUCCAGAAUACUCCUUACUUCAGAUGAGCAGACAAUUAUUAAGGAAGAAGUCAAAUUUAGAAUGCAUAUGUCGUACACUUAGGUCGGAUCUCUUCCAAUCACGCAGAGAGUGAAACAUAUGACUAACUAUAGUUUAGAGGGAUUGGAAAGUAGAAGGUUGUAUUUGCUGUGUACUAGGUCGAAUUGUUAAUUAGGCAAAUGAGACAACAUAUGGCUAACAGGUAGGAAGAAUAGCAUAGAAGAAGAUGCGGAGAGACAGAGUUGCAUAUGUUGCAUUCCAGGUCGGAUCACUUCCAAUCACCAGAGGAAGAAACAUAUGACUAACUGAUAGAAAUAAAGAAAAUAAUUUUCUACAGACCUAAUUUAUCGGAAUUUCCAAGUUGCCUCGUCAAUAUCGGAAUUAAGGACAAAGUCUGCACAUCGAGGAAAAGUUAAUCCACAGUUCUAAAUACAUAUCAUUUAAUGUAACCGCAAAUUCCCAUGUAUAUCUCUCUGCUCAACCAAACCAAAUGUGGUAUUGUCAGGCUAAAUGGAACUAUGUAGGUCAAGAUUUGUCAGGUCACUAGACUCCUUGAGUUCAUCUGAUCCUAGUCAAGUCCAUUUUAAAAACUUCUGUGACUACCGGCGCAUCGAACACAAAGCUUAGACAAUUCACCUUUGGUACCUUACAGAUUCAGAUUGCCUGUUAUCACAUGAUUAUAUCACUUCCCAAAACAUCAUCCAAAAACAGAAACUAUUAGCAACAUAAUUUAUUUAUUUUUUAUUUUUUGAUUGUCUAAUGUGUUUGGAUUAUUUUUUUAAUUUUUGAAUUUUUUUUGUUUGGUUUUUAAUUAUUUCUCCCCUUAAAUUUGUGCAUGGGUGACAAUGAAAUUAAAAUGUGCAAAUUUAAACUAACCUAAAACAAAAACUAGUUCUCAAAACGUAUAAUUUUCAAAAAGCUCAGAAGCACAUCAAAUUGAGCUUUGUUAAACAGCCUUGUGAACAGAUCUGCCACUAAGCGAACGCUCAGAACAAUCUCUGAUGAAAUGAAUUUUGAUGUCAAUGUGCUUGGUUUUUGAAUGUUGGACUGGAUUUUUUGGAAUCUGAAUCGCAGCCUAAUUAUCACAAAAAAUAGGGGUUUCUAGAUAGUUCAAACCAUAAUCCAACAGUUGAUGUUGGAUCCAAAUAACUUGAUAACAACAAGCAGAGGCAGCAACAUAUUCCAUUUCUGCUAUUGAGAUUUUGACGGUGUGUUGUUUCUUGCACUGCCAAGACACCAGCCGGUCACCAAGGAAUUGACACCCUCCUGAUGUAGAUUUCCUGUCAAGCUCACAGCCUCCAUAAUUACUGUCAGCGAAAGCAUAUAAAUCAAAUUCAGAAUUUUUCGUAUACCAAAUACCCAAUUUUGGGUUGCCUUUGAGAUACCGAAAGAUUCUUUUGACAGCAAUAAGAUGUGAAAGUUUAGGAUUAGCUUGAUAGUGUGCACAUUGACAAACUGCAAAACAUGAUGUCUGGUCUGCUUGCAGUUAAAUACAUCAACAAACCGAUCAUCGAUUUGUAGUGAGUUUGAUCUACAGAUUCGCCAUCAGUAUCUGGAGUCAGCAGGGGUCUCUCGGCCAUUGGCGUCAAAGUAGGUUUUGCGUCUUGAAACCCGCAAUUCUUAAGUAUGUACUCCACAUAAUUUGCUUGAUGGAGUAGGAUUCCGGUUGAUCUUUGUUGGACUUGAAGCCCCAAAAACAUGGUCAUCUCACCCAACGAACUCAUCUCAAAUCUCUUUCUCCUAGCGCCUUCAAACUCCUUGCAUAGCCGAGGACUUGUAGACCCGAAGAUAAUGUCGUCAACAUAGAUUCGAAAUAGAAUCUGAUCAUAACCCACAUGCUUGAUGAAUAAGGUUUGAUCGAUAGUUCCACGAGAAUAUCCAUUGCUCGAGCAAGUUCUUUGUGAGAGUUUCAUACCACAGUUGAGGAGCUUGCUGUAACCCAUAGAAUGCCUUGUCCAACUUGUAGACAUGAUUAGGAAAUUUCAAGUUAACAAACACAGGGGGUUGAUCAACGUAGAUUUCAUCCUUCACCUUGUCAUACAAGAAGGCUGUCUUGACAUCCAUCUUGUAAACCGUGAAGUUCAUGUAGGAAGCGUAUGCAAGGAAGAUUCAGAUAGCCUCCAAGCAAGCCACUAAAGCCUAAACCUCAUUGUAGUCAAGACCCUCGAUCUGUCUGAACCCACAAACCACCAAUCUCACCUUAUUGUGCAACUAUCACUCCAGAAUCAUCCUGCUUAUUGUANGUUGCCUCGUCAAUAUCGGAAUUAAGGACAAAGUCUGCACAUCGAGGAAAAGUUAAUCCACAGUUCUAAAUACAUAUCAUUUAAUGUAACCGCAAAUUCCCAUGUAUAUCUCUCUGCUCAACCAAACCAAAUGUGGUAUUGUCAGGCUAAAUGGAACUAUGUAGGUCAAGAUUUGUCAGGUCACUAGACUCCUUGAGUUCAUCUGAUCCUAGUCAAGUCCAUUUUAAAAACUUCUGUGACUACCGGCGCAUCGAACACAAAGCUUAGACAAUUCACCUUUGGUACCUUACAGAUUCAGAUUGCCUGUUAUCACAUGAUUAUAUCACUUCCCAAAACAUCAUCCAAAAACAGAAACUAUUAGCAACAUAAUUUAUUUAUUUUUUAUUUUUUGAUUGUCUAAUGUGUUUGGAUUAUUUUUUUAAUUUUUGAAUUUUUUUUGUUUGGUUUUUAAUUAUUUCUCCCCUUAAAUUUGUGCAUGGGUGACAAUGAAAUUAAAAUGUGCAAAUUUAAACUAACCUAAAACAAAAACUAGUUCUCAAAACGUAUAAUUUUCAAAAAGCUCAGAAGCACAUCAAAUUGAGCUUUGUUAAACAGCCUUGUGAACAGAUCUGCCACUAAGCGAACGCUCAGAACAAUCUCUGAUGAAAUGAAUUUUGAUGUCAAUGUGCUUGGUUUUUGAAUGUUGGACUGGAUUUUUUGGAAUCUGAAUCGCAGCCUAAUUAUCACAAAAAAUAGGGGUUUCUAGAUAGUUCAAACCAUAAUCCAACAGUUGAUGUUGGAUCCAAAUAACUUGAUAACAACAAGCAGAGGCAGCAACAUAUUCCAUUUCUGCUAUUGAGAUUUUGACGGUGUGUUGUUUCUUGCACUGCCAAGACACCAGCCGGUCACCAAGGAAUUGACACCCUCCUGAUGUAGAUUUCCUGUCAAGCUCACAGCCUCCAUAAUUACUGUCAGCGAAAGCAUAUAAAUCAAAUUCAGAAUUUUUCGUAUACCAAAUACCCAAUUUUGGGUUGCCUUUGAGAUACCGAAAGAUUCUUUUGACAGCAAUAAGAUGUGAAAGUUUAGGAUUAGCUUGAUAGUGUGCACAUUGACAAACUGCAAAACAUGAUGUCUGGUCUGCUUGCAGUUAAAUACAUCAACAAACCGAUCAUCGAUUUGUAGUGAGUUUGAUCUACAGAUUCGCCAUCAGUAUCUGGAGUCAGCAGGGGUCUCUCGGCCAUUGGCGUCAAAGUAGGUUUUGCGUCUUGAAACCCGCAAUUCUUAAGUAUGUACUCCACAUAAUUUGCUUGAUGGAGUAGGAUUCCGGUUGAUCUUUGUUGGACUUGAAGCCCCAAAAACAUGGUCAUCUCACCCAACGAACUCAUCUCAAAUCUCUUUCUCCUAGCGCCUUCAAACUCCUUGCAUAGCCGAGGACUUGUAGACCCGAAGAUAAUGUCGUCAACAUAGAUUCGAAAUAGAAUCUGAUCAUAACCCACAUGCUUGAUGAAUAAGGUUUGAUCGAUAGUUCCACGAGAAUAUCCAUUGCUCGAGCAAGUUCUUUGUGAGAGUUUCAUACCACAGUUGAGGAGCUUGCUGUAACCCAUAGAAUGCCUUGUCCAACUUGUAGACAUGAUUAGGAAAUUUCAAGUUAACAAACACAGGGGGUUGAUCAACGUAGAUUUCAUCCUUCACCUUGUCAUACAAGAAGGCUGUCUUGACAUCCAUCUUGUAAACCGUGAAGUUCAUGUAGGAAGCGUAUGCAAGGAAGAUUCAGAUAGCCUCCAAGCAAGCCACUAAAGCCUAAACCUCAUUGUAGUCAAGACCCUCGAUCUGUCUGAACCCACAAACCACCAAUCUCACCUUAUUGUGCAACUAUCACUCCAGAAUCAUCCUGCUUAUUGUAAUGCCCUAGAAACAAGGAUCUUAACCAGUGAUCAAGCAAUCUAAUAAUCAAACAAGAUAAGAAUGGAGUAGAAGAAGAUUAAACCAAGCCUUGAACACGUUUAUAUCAAAGAAACGUCGAGUACAAUUUGGACACAGACAAAUGACCGUAAACUCUAUGGAAUGACAACUACUACUAACAGACUCUGACACACCCUAUAUAUAGGUGAAGGCUGGCCGUAAACAGGUUUACGGUCGUAAACACACCUUUGGCCGUAAACUCAUCCAAAAAACUCUAUUUCAUAACGCCUUCAAACUCCUUGCAUAGAUGAGGACUUGUACACCCGAAGAUAAUGUCGUCAACAUAGAUCUGAACUAGAAUCUGAUCAUUACCCACAUGCUUGAUGAACAAGGUUUGAUCGAUAGUGCCAUGAGAAUAUCCAUGCUCAAGCAAGUGCUUUGUGAGAGUUGCAUACAACGCUCGAGGAGCUUGAUGUAACCCAUAUGACGCCUUGUCCAACAUGUAGACAUGAUUAGUAAAUUUAGAGUUAACAAUCCCAGGAGAUUGAUCAACAUAGAUUUUGUCCUUCACCAUUCCAUACAAGAAGGCUGUCUUGACAUCCAUCCGGUGAACCGUGAAGUUCAUGUAGGAAGCGUAUGCAAGGAAGAUAUGGAUAGCCUCUAAGUGAGCCACCGGAGCAUAAAACUCGGUGUAGUCAAGACCCUCGAUCUAUCUAAACCCAUGAACCACCAAUCUCACCUUAUUACGCACUAUGACUCCAAUAUCAUCCUGGUUAUUGCGGUAUACCCAACUUGUGUCAAGAGACUUUUUGCCCUUAGGUAGUUCAACCAGCGUCUAAAGCCCGAGCUUUUCAAAUUCAUUUAACUCUUCGUACGUAGCAUCUACCCAACUAGGCUCAUUUAAAGCCAUUUCAACGUUCUUUGGCUCUAUUUGAGAGAUAAAGAAAGAAUAGAGACAUGUAUUAACAUCUCCACUCUGACUUCUUGUUCUAGCACCAUCACCCAGUUGGCCAUUGAUAUUAUCAAUCGGAUGAUCACAUUGAAUACGAGAAUGUAUCUCAUGGUUGAUAUCAUUGACUGAAAUGGGAAGAUUGUGAAUGUUGAUAACUCCAUCAUUUGUCGAAUGAUCUACUUCAGAAAAACCUGUUUCGUUAGCAGGAUUUGUCACAAACUCAUUUGCAAUUUGCUCAGGAAAUAAAAGUUCCAUAAAAGGUUGAGUAGCAGCGGAAGUAUCUGUGGACAUGAACUCCCUUUCAACAGGAGUAAGAGGUGUGGCAUCAACAUCUGGAGCGUGUUGUUGACUUGGAGAUUUUGGACAAGUAAUUCGAAUAGAUGACUCCACCGUAGGAAUUGUAGAAGAUACUAUCGGCGGUCUGUAAACAACUUCUUCGUCUUCAUUUUCAGAUACAUCCUUCAAACGAGAAAUAGAACCAGAUAAACUAUCUGAGCACACAUUGAACGAUUUGAACAAAGACAUGUAAUCAAAUAGCUAAUCAGGACCCACUCUAGCAUCCGUUUCAUUCUCCUCCAACCAGAGCACAUCGAAGGAUUCUAGGAUUUGCUUUGUUCUUUUAUUGUAGACCAUGUACGCAGUGCGAGCAACAUACCCCACAAAAUAGCAGUCAUUAGCUUUGGCAUUGAACUUAGGGUUGGACUCCAAGUGAAGAAGGGUGCAAGGGCAGCUAAAUACGUGGAAUUGAUUGACCGAUAGCUUGUCACCAUAGAGAAUUUCACAAGGAGGAUUCAUCUGGGCUUUGUUGAUCAAAACACGAUUCUAAACUUAACUAGUUGUGUUGAUUGCCUCAACCCAAAAGAAAACUGACAACUUUGAGUCACACAACAUCGUCCUUGUAGCGUCUUGUAAUGUCUGAUUCCUCCGUUCAGCAACACUAUUUUGUUGAGGCAUGCGAGCGAAACUAUAUUGACGCACGAUUUCCUUUUCUACGCAAAAGUGAUCAAGAACCACAUUCUUGAAUUAUGUUCCAUUAUCAGUUCGAAGCGCCUUCACCCGGUGAUUUGUUUGGUUCUCAAUCAUCACAAUGAAUUUCUUAAUCAGAUCAGACACCCUAGAGUUGUUGGAUAAAAAGAAGACCAAGGUGUAACGCGAGAAGUGAUCAAUCACAAACAGACAAAUACGAAUUUCUGUUGAUGCUUAGGACAUUGAUCAGACCAAAUAAAUCCAUGUGCAAUAAUUGUAGCACUUGACUGAUUGAAUUAACCUGUUUUGGCAGGUGUGGUUUUCUCUGACGCUUUCCUGGGCAAAUGACACACACUUUUCAAAUGUAAUGAAGUCUCUGACAGGUAGGCCACACACCAUUUUAUUUUUAGCAAGACGAUUCAGAUUCUUAGCGUUUGCAUGACCGAGUCGUCGGUGCCACAACAUAGCAUUUUGUUCUAAGACUUUUGAAAAGAGGCAAGUGACUUGUUCAGGAAUGUUGCUAUUCAUGCCGAUAAUGUAUGCAUUUCCAUCCCGCUUUGAUUUAACAAGAAUCCACUCAUCCGGGAUGACAAUGCCUGGCUUCAGGAUCAGACACUCUUUAUCAGUAAAAUGCAUUGAAUAACCCUUGUCACAAAAUCUGAGAAACGCUAAACAAGCUGUGCUUUAACUCGGGAGCAUAGUUAACGUUCUCAAAACUCAGCACUCCAUUCGACACAGUUCCUUUCGGAGUGAUUUUUCCACCUUCUUUGCCCGCAAAGAAAACAAAUCCUCCAUUAAAAGAUUGAAUGUCAUUCAACUGGGAGAUGUCUCCUGUCAUAUGAUGGGAGCAGCCGCUGUCAACAUACCCAGGUCUGACAACAUUCCUCUGCAAUUGUCCCUGCAAAAUGAGUAGGAUCAUUACUUUCUUGGGUUGACCCUUUAAAAUCACAAAUUUAUCUUUUGAACUUUUUGAUUUUGAAUCAUCAUUUAAAACACUUUUAGAGGAUGAUGAUGAUUGGUUGGAAGUGAAUUUGGGCACCCACUGGUAUUUAGGUUUCUUUAAAAUCAUAGGAGAUUUUGAAACAUUUUUCUUUCCUAUUUGCUUUGAGCAUUUGGAUUUUCUACCAGAUGUGGUUGAAGAUCUAGAUCUGCUCUUUGUCGAAACUGACCUCUGCUUAGCGUUGUUCGAUUUUGGCAAACUAUUUGUGACUUUAUUAUUGAAAACCUGUUUGUUCAUUUGAAAAACUGCCCUUUCUCGUUUUGAUUAGCCUUCGAAUCAUCAUCUCGAGGGCGAGAUCUCGAGGACUUUCUAGUUAAAGACCUUCCUCGAGACUCGUUCUCUCCUCUUUGAGACGAAAAAUGCACAAAUGCCCUAUUAGGACAAUUCCCAGUGAUGGGACAGACAAUACCAUAGUUGAAACAAAUAUGUUUAUUGUUAUUGGAACUGGUACCGCCUUUGUCUGAUUUAUUUUCUUUAAUGACACCCUUACUUUUCCCACAAGAACAUGUGCAAGAAUCAGAUUGUAUGAUAGGUGAGGGUGAACCAGGGUGUGUAAUUGGUGAAGUGGAUGUGCUUGAAACAUAAACAACGGUAUUGUCAAACAAAUCAUCAAAUAUAUCUAAAAAGUUUGAGUUAUCAUUUUGUGAUGCAAAAUCAUCACAAGAUACAUCAUUUAUGUUAACAUCAGAAACAAAAGUGUUAUCAUCUGAAAUAGAAACAACAGAUUCUGAAGCAAGUUUAUCAUCAGACAUACAUCCUUCAACUUCAUGCUUGGAUUGACUUAAAGAUUGAUCGGCAUGGGAAGUAGAAACAUUAGUAUUUUCAACAUUAAUACUACCUCCUGACACAAAUCCAACUGGUUUGCCAUAUUUGACAAAUGACUCUCUGUCCAUUUCUUCUUUAGUCAAUGGCUUAAACUGAUAAUUAUGAUUAAAAGGAGGAGGCAAUUUAUCAUAUCCUAAACCCUUUGACUGAUUAUUUUUAAAUAUCAAACUAUUUUCCAUCAUUGAUGUAACCACAUUACUUGACACAUCAAAUUUUCUGAAAUUAAAAUCUGCAUUUUCAAAUUUGUUUUUCAAUGUGUCAAGCUCAACAGUUAACUCAGCAAGUUGUUCAGUCAAAAAUCUAUAUUUGGCACACUUAUUGCUAUACUCUUCCUGAAGUUUUCUAAAAUCUUUUGUUUUUGCUUGAAAUUGAGCUUUUAGAGGUUCCUGUCCUUUUCUAAGUUGAUAUCCUUCAUAUUUUAGAUUCUCGUUCUCACUACGCAAUAAAUCUAUAUGUUCAAGUAAAAUUUUGACAUUAUCAAUGCAUGUUUGAGAACACGAAGACCAACUUACCUCUUUCUUCUCAGGUUUUAGAGUAGAAGAUACCAUAAAUGCAAACUGCAACUCCAUCAUCUCUUCUUUAGGAUCAACUUCAACUUUCUCUUCUGGAGCAUCAACAAUUUGAGCAAAGUGAGCACUCUCAGGUCCUGAAAUAUUCAGUUCUUGAAUCUGGUACUCCUAGUCAAAGGACUGAGCAACCACUGCGAGAUUAGCAGUCUCACUGUUGAUAGUAGCACUUCCAUGGCUAUUUCCCACUGGAACCAUUGUUCUAUCAUUGCUUACCCUUCUGUCUGGCUUUGGACACUCACGAGCAAAAUGACCUGGCUCGUGGCAAUUGUAACACCGAAGCUUGCCCUUGUUAAACCCAACCUUUUUGUCAGCAUUCAUCCCCCAGUUGUUCUUUCCUGUCUCUUUGCAAAUUGUUUUGCCUUGAACACUAUCAUUGCUAUCUGCCAAGUAAUAUCCAUAUCUUCCACAUCUUCUACAUGUAUUUGAUCCAGAUCAGCAAAUAAGAGUUGUCGUGGAACCUCUCAAGCUACAAGAGCAUUGAAGCAAUUGACAAGUCCAGUGGCAAGAACUAAGUUUUGAUCGCUUUCUUUGGGAUUAGGAGCAGGAACCAUAACUGGUGCUUUGGAGGAGGAAGUAGCUUUUGAAACAACAAAAAAUUGGUUUUGUGGAUGAGACAUAGAUGAUGAAGCAACAAAUGGUGCAUCAGAUGGAACAACAAAGGUUUGAUUUUGAGGUUGUUGGACGGAAAAAGCUUGACUUGGAGAGGAGGUAAAAGAUGAAAAGGCAUUAUUUGAAGAAAUUCCAAGAUUUGCAGUCGAGCAGGAAUUCACAUGAUGAAAGCCACGUUCAUAUUUUUCAAGAUCACAGGCUUUGAUGAUUGCCAUAGUUUCAGCAAGAUUGAGACGAUUGAUAUCUUUCGUCUUCUUGAUAACAACCACGUUCAUAUCCCGUGCUUUCGGAAGUGAAUUCAGCAGCUUUUUGUUUAUCUUAGACUUAGUCACAAAAAUCCCAGUUGAACUCAUUUCAGUGGUGAGUGUGGUAAAACGCUACAACUAGGCUUCUAGGGAUUCUCCAAGAACAUAAUUAAUCAUAUUGAAUUUUUUUCUUAACAUGUCUUGGCUACUAUGUUUCAUAUCUUAAUUACCCUCAUAGGCCUCAAUAAAUGUUCCCACAAUGCCUUGGCUGAAUCAUACUCUCUGAAUCCUUGAGCAAUAUAAGGAGAUAAAUCCAUAAUGAAAGUAGCCAAUUCUCUUUCCUGUUCUUCAACCUUUUCAAAUUCUUCAUCAGUGUAAUCAGCAUACACUUUGUCAUUAUUUGUCCAUUCGCAAGAGUAGUAGUGAUUCUGACAGGUCUAUAAGAAUGCUUCGCCAAACCUUAAAGUCUUUCAUCUUGAUGUAUUUCUCGAUCCAGUAUUUCCAUUUCGAGAACCCUUCCGUAGAUAAAAAACGUGGAAUGCAAUUGGUUGUUUCCAUGAUUGAAUCCAAUUCAUGAUGAAUUACUUGGCUUUGAGAAUCCAUUUUUUUUUCUUUUUGAUUUUGUUGUUUUUUCUUUUUUUAUAUUUUUGAAAUUGAAAAUGAUUUGAAAAAAUAAACUAAAACACCAAGAAGGUAGUUUACGGCCACAAGUUUACGACCGUAAACAUAGUUUACGACUGAUUUUAGGGUUGAGUUUACGGUCGAGUUUCCAGUUGAGGAAUUUACGAUCACUAAAGAUUGUCUGUUUACAGUUAUUAAUGAUACAUUGUUUACGGUCAUUGAAUAUUAUUAGUUUACGGCCGUGAAUAGGAGUUUACGGCCGUGAACUCUUGACCAUAAAUGCCCAGAAUUUGACAAAAACAUGAAUUCAGGUCUCGAACAGUGAUGAAACUAAUCUCUUUUUGACCGUGAACACGAUUGAAGUUAUUUUGACACCGGAUUUGCUCUGAUAACAAUUGUAAGGCCCUAGAAACAAGGAUCUUAACCAGUGAUCAAGCAAUCUAACAAUCAAACAAAAUAAGAAUGGAGUAGAAGAAGAUUAAACAAAGCCUUGCACACGUUCAUAUAAAUGAUACGUCAGGUACAACUUGGACACACACAAAUGACCGUAUACUCUGUGGACUGACAACUACUACUGACAAACUCUAACACGCCCUAUAUAUAGGGGAAGGAUGGCGGUAAACACACCUCUGGCCGUAAACUAAUCCAAAACAGUCUAUUACAAGACACAAAAACCAUUAAGACUUAUACAUAAAUAGCCUAGCCCAAACCAUAAACUAGACCCUUCAUAAUCAAUAUUCUCCAAAAACUAAGAUUCCCAAAAAUAAAAAAUGUAACCAAAUUUGCAAGGUGGCUCUUGAUACCAGUUGUAGGGGUUUUAUUCACAAAUAGUUUCAAAAACAUAAAUUUAGCAACGAAAGACUUGAUAAUAUGAAUAACCUAAAAAACGUUUAUAACCCACAAAGGAUUUUCUUGCAAAGUUUGGAAAGAAAACAAGACCAACCAAAGAAAGGAUGAAGAAAAGUCAACAUUUGUAGAUCUUUGGGUCCUCUUGUGAGGCUUCGAAGUUGAUGAAACAUGAUGAACUUAAGAGACACCAAGAAUGACUCAAAUUGAUGUAGAAUUCUAGUUCUUUUGUUUAAAACUCUUAAGACUCUUAAGCUUUAUUCUCUUAUCCAAAUAACAACACAAAGAGAGCAUAAGAAGCAAGUGAUCUCCAUGAGAUAAACCAAAAAUGAGAGAGAAUGCAUAUCACCAUCCAAAUUUUGUUUUUCACUCAUAAAAGGAAAGCAAAAUUCAAGCCCUAAGUCUUAAAGCAUAAAGCAGGUUCUUAACCACAAGGUCUUAAGACUUUUAACCAAACCAUGUCCCUAUGUCGUGAGCAUGUCCCAACAUGCUUUACUAGGUUUAUUUCUUUCAAUUAAACAAUUGAAAAACUCAUGUUCUUCAUUUUGACUCUUAUUUGAAAAAAUAAUAAAAAGAAGAAGACAAAACUUUUAUAUUUUAUAAAACAAGUUUAUACAAUAUAAACUUUAAGUUUUUAACAAAAGAUAAAAGAAUUUAUCUAGUCCAAAAUGUUGUACAUGACUUAACAACUCAUACUAUAUAAAUUACGUAAUGUAACUUCUUAAUGAAAAUUAUUAUUUCCUAGAAAUAAAUAAUUUCGAAUUUAAUUAUAAGAGUUUGUUGACUUAUUAAUACAUACCCUUUGGUACGCCUAGCGUAUGCUGUUGUGUCACACCCUCGAACCGGAACGGUGGAAACGUCUAGGGGCGGAUGACGUCAUUGUAUAGUAUCAUCAGAAUUAUAUAUAAAUGAAACAUAGCACAGACAUUCAUACAUUGAUAAUAGGUUUACAUUGUCUACAAUACUUGUUCUAUUCAAAAGUUAAACACGAAUAACAAAAGUAGACAUAACACAAUGCAGCGACGCCAAGCCUUGAUCGUGGUGAAUACCUGUCUACUAGAUCCCUAAGAAUACAAGUCAUGUUGAAAAGCGUCAACUAAAAAUUUAGUGAGUUCAUAAGCGUUUUUGUAGGUAAAAUGUUGUAAUAAAUUUGUUCAAAUUUCAUUGUAAAACUCUAGAAAAUCCAAAACUUUCUAUAAAAAGUAGUUUAUAAGUUUCGUUCCAAAAUCGUGUAUAAGUGCAUGCUUUUUCUUUAGUUUUCCUUUGUUUAUUACUAAAAAGAAGUGUUCCUAGAAAAUCCUAUAUUUUCUGUAUAUAAAAGAUGUCGUGGUCUUAAAAACCUUAAGACCGAACUUGUGAAAGUCAUUUGCAAAAUAUACGAAACAUAGUUUGGUACUUUUUAAACUAAUGGGUGUAUAUUCCACAUAAUUCCAAUGUCACUAGGACCCUACUCUAUGUGAGUCAUUAUAACCAUACAGAUAUGACGUGAACGCCUGGCCUGACGUUUUUCAGGCGUCAGAUACGGUCCAUUUAUUUUUCACCUUAGACUGGUCGGUCUAGUUGUAGCGAAUAGCACAGGUGUGGGGUGUCAACCCCGUAUAUAUCUAUACACAAUUAUCAUGCUCCCCCUCCAGGGGACUCUGAUUAUAAACACAUGAAUUACAAUGUGCCUAGAUAGGUACAGCGUAAACAAAGCCUUAAUGGAAUGAACGCGAGUUUUUCUCCCAUUGAUAAAUAAUGCAAAUAAUGUUAUCCUUUUCUAAAAUUAUGACUGUAGCUUUAUGACAUGCAAAUAUUUCCGUCAUAAAAGCUAUGUUUUGUAAAUCGUCUUGAUAAAAUCAUUUGUAUUGAAAAUUAUAAAUAAUCACUAAUAGUUUGUCAACUUGCAAAAGGUUAUAAAUAGGACAUAAAGUUCCAAUUUUAAAACCCUUGAAAUGGUAUAAGCAUCACAUGAUUGUUUUACUAGCAACAUUUGUUUUUAGAUAAAUAGCCAUGUCUUCUUGGGUGUUUUGACAUACCCAAAAUUUUAUGGAUAUCUUUACAAACAAAAUAUUCUCUUCUUGUUGUGACUAAAAUAUUUUCACUAGUUCCACCAAAAUCUCUUAUAAAUCCAUGAAAUUUAUUAUGUCUUAAACUUUGCACAAGUUUUAGUGGUAAAAGUGCUUUUAACCAAAAAUUACCGUUUUGGUGUAACUCAUCAUAUAUUUACCUAGUAGCAUAGUUUUAUAUUUAAUAUAAUGCACAAUAUGUAGAUCUAUAGAAAGAUAACUUAGUUCUAACAUCAUGAGGUUUGUGAAAUCUCAAUUUUAUGGAGUAUUAGCAUGAAAUAAAAACAUUUUAACAUACAUAAACACCUAAAAAUACAAAUAAAUGCAAUUAUCCAAGGAUUUAAACAAGAUUUGACUGGUAUUCCUCCCUCCCCCCCCCCCCCCNCCCCCCACAGAACAAUGAAAACUUGAAUAGGUGGGGUAUGAAGCUCACUUUGGUUUGAUUUGGAUAGUUGAUUUGGGUAGAUGUUGAGAAGUGUUCAAGUCCUAACACUUGAAGUGUUUGAUAAACUCUUUCAACUUUAGAAUAUCCUAAGAAUAUUAACACAUAAUUCUAUGUGUAAACAUGAUGAAAUAAACAAAAGAAUAUGGGAAACUACAUAGCUAAUCAUGAAAUACUUACAAGAUCUAGGGAAUACUUUGAAGGAGUAAUACUUGAUGCUUGAAUACUUUGAGAGUAAUUUAAGGGUUUAUAGAGAGCGAAUGUGAUAAAUAGGAAGUAGUUUACGCUCAAAAAGGGAGGAUGAAAGUGAUAAGAUGUGCUUGGUUAUAUAGAGGUUAAGGCAUUGUUAUCUGAUGGAUAAUACAUAGAUAUUUGGAGGAUAUUUCAUGGUUAAAUGUAAUUGCUUUGGGAAGGAAAAAAUGUCACACCUUAAAGUCAAUUAUUCUUGUCCUAUCCACACAUUAUGGAUGUGAACUCUAUAUAAUGAAGUUGUUUACGGCCUAGAUGCCUCCUAGGAUUGAGUAUAUGCCCAACCAUCACAUUUAUAAGGUGUUUACGCCCCAAAGAUGCUUUCCUUUUGAUUUUACGGCCAAGAUACAUCCUAGAGAAGUGUUCACAGCCAACUAAGUCUUCUUAGGGUGGUUCACAGCCAAAGGUGGUCUCUUAAGGGGGUUUACGCCCAAGACACCUCCUAGGAAAGUGUUCACGGCCUAGAUAAGGUAUCCUAAGGUAGUUCACGGUCUUGGAUGGUGCCUAGGGAAAUGUUUAUGGUCUUGAUUAAUAGCAAACUCAAUUAUGUUGUGCUUAUGGUUCAAUUGCUUAAGAUCGUCAGACAAUUACAAAUGCUUGUGUCUACACCAUGUGAUCCUUAAUCAAAAUCAUUUAUCUAGUUUUACUUCACUAAAUUUUGUUUACUUUCAAGAGGUUAAAUCGUAUGUGACUUCCAAAGUGCAUACUUCCAUAUACAUGCACUUAUUCUCUAUUGGUUUUCAAGGUUCUCCAUGCAAUAGGGUUACAAUUUAGACCUUGCUUGGUCCAAAUAUUUCGGGUUGUCACAGACUGUCGCCCUUUCUUCCCAUUAAGAACUUAAUCCUUAAGCACUUUCAUCCAAGAAUCCAUAUCAAGCUCUCAAAUGAUGCUCUUAAUCACAAAGUUUCCAACUUUAUGAUCUUGCAUGUCUAUUAAGUGCACAAUACUAAAUAUCCUAACUUCUUAACUCUUUAAGACAUCGUAGCUCAUGCAUGGAAGGAAACUAAGGUCUAAGAUUAUGUUUUUAUCAUUCCUAACAAUUCCAUAAUGGAUAAACUUUCCGACUUUAUCCAUUAAAAUGGUCCAAACAACCAAGAUCUACUCUAGAAGUUUCACAACGACCAAAAGUGCAUCUUUUUAAACAUAAUCCAUUAAGUCCUAGUCUCCAACCUUUAGAUCUGAAUCAAUAUGAUGUUUAGAUGGACAAAGUUUCCAACUUUAUCUAUAACAAGGUCACAAACUUUUAAGAUCUAAACUUUAUGCACUAAAAUGACCAAAAACUUAUAACACCAGAAACUAGCUAGAUCUAACAAAUUCAUCAUAAAGAUUCAAGCUUUAUAGCUUUAGAAAAAACAUCAAGGUGAAGAAAGUCUGUAUAUACAAGCUCCAAUACAACCAACACUUCUCCAAAGAGCUCUUUCUUCUCCAAGAUGCACCAAGAACACUCCAAAGAACUGAAGAACACCUUCUUUUGCUGAAAAGGCUCAAAUUAUGGUUAGGGUUUUCAAGGGAGGGUGUUAGAGAGGUGAAGGCUGGGAAUGGAAUGCCCUAGCACGCCUAAUGUACUUCCUAUACAACUAGAGUACUAGACUAAGUCCAAAACCUUCCUAACUUCUAACAGUCUUAACUUCUUCGUUCCAACUCCAUUUUCAACGAUCUUUAUAUCCACAGAAAGGUAUUUAGGAACUCUAAAACCAUAUCUAAUUACUUUUGACUUAAAAACAUGGAACUAAAACCCUUAAUUCAUAAAAGAUGUCUGAAACACCAUUUUUCCCAUUUUACCCUUUGACUUCAAAGCACAAACUGAACUCUUCGAUCACAUAAUCUACAUUAACCACAUCUGUAUGGGUCUAAACCUCUCUUAUCAAAAGCUCGAAGCCUUAUGAUACUUGAUCUUUAGGUCAUGGCCCCGAAUUAUACAAGGACUCGAAACAGGGUGCUACAACUCUCCCCUACUUAAAUUAGAUUUCGACCUCGAAAUCACUCCAUGAUACUUUCCAGACAUUCAGACGAUCUAGACAUCUCUUCCAGAUCCCUGAUAAAAGUUGAUCCUAAUAUAAAAUUGCCUUCUAAUAAUGGAACCCAUCCUUAGCAGAACUUACAUACUGACGAUGAAGGAAUCCUGGUUCCUGUUGACCUUAGCCAAUAAAGGACGACCAUCACUACUCAGCUUAAAAUCGGGAAUCCAAUACCUUAUCUGACUAUCCAACAUACAAAAACAUUCUGAAUCACAACCAAUAUGGCUCCACUUUGCAAUCUAAUUUGAACGAAAUCCUUACGACCCAAAAUUAUCCUGCUGGCUAACGUUCGCAUUUCCGAUGUAUCCAGGAUCUUUUGAGCUCUAAGCUUAUCUACUACGAGACUCUAUCCAAGAGUCAGUUUGGAAAAGCUACCCUAACAUACUUGUUUAUAACUCUUCAACAUUCCUACUGAUCCAACGAGGGAUAACAUUGUUAGGUUUUGAGCAUUCUAACACUUCUAAGUGUACAUGCAACCCUAAAUGCCUUGGAUCUAUGUUUUCUCUAUUAUACAUGCAAAUAAGAACUUUCCAAGGCUUUAAUCCUAACUAGCAUACUAUGAGGCAACUAUACUACAAAGACUAAUUAGAUGACAUACCUUUUGGUGUAGCUUGAUGUCUUUAAGCUCUAAGAGCUUAGCCCCAAUAGUGUGGAAGCCUCAAGUGGAAUCACAAAUCACCAAAACGCCUUGGAAGACUUUAGAGAAUAUGGAUACUUGGCUCUCUCUAGUGAAAUCGGCUAGCUCUCUUAGUGUACCCACACUAGUGCCCAUUUCACCAACCAAUGACAGCUUUAUAUAGUGUGGAAACUAGGGUUAAACCCAUGACCUUUCAUUUCAUAUGAUCCAUGGGUUAAACACUCCAUGGACUAUCCAUGAAAGCUUAGCCCAACCUAAAUGAACUUGGCCCAUCACACACAUAUAUCUAAGAGUCCAUAUUUAAUUAGUUCAUUUUGAUCACUUAAUUAAUUCUAAAUUAAUUCUUGAUCAAUACUAAUUAAAUAAUAUGAUUACAUAUUAAUAUAUUUGAACUUAUAAUAUAUUAAUAUAAUCAUAAAUAUACUAUUCUCAAAAGAUUAUCCAUAUAAAUUGUGCCGGUGAAGUGCAACCCAAAUGGACCAUGCCGGGUCGGGUCAAGUACAUACCAAAUAUAGUUAUGGACUUAGACAUUAAUCCAACUAACAUAACUAACCAUAACACCGAUGCAAUAUAACUUACUUUGCUCUAAAUGAUUGAUACAUGCCUAACUAUAGUCUUACGUCACUAAAGACCCCAUACGACCCACAACCUUCCUUGAUUCCAACAAUGUUUUGGCUUUCCCACAGUCUCACUACCCUUCCUGCCAUGGUCUAAUCCCACCUAGAGGAAACUACGAGACAAAUCGUAGAUUCACCACACUCUCUCAAUUGCUCAUGGACCAGGUGAAUGCUAUGCGUCACCCCAUAGUGUUAGAACACCUCUAUCACUAUUUGCUAACCUAGUGAAUUCUACAACCACCCCGCAGUAACACAAUACUUCUAUCACUACGUGCCAACCAAGUGAAUUCUACAGCCACCAAACAAUCUUACCACACUUCUAUCACUACUUGUUAACCUAGUGAAUGCUACAACCACCUCACAGUCUUACAACACCUCUAUCACUACUUUCCAACAAAAUAAAACAUGGGUCGAAGCGUUAUUCGAAUAUAUCCCAAUCAGGUAUUCGGUGCAUGCUUCGAGUCCCAAAUCCUUUAUCAAACAAGAGCAUGCAAAGAGGCUCUAUCACAACCCUCAACCUAAACCUAUUUACAUACCCGCCAUGCGCCACCAAUGAUGUGCAAGGUAACAUGGAAUCUCAGUAUUUGUGUAAUCUCUUAGUCGAAGCAGUUCUCCCGCACUUGGAUUCAACCGCGCUCUUCCAACCACAAAAUUGAUAGAGUUCCAAUCUAUCUCGCAACCUGAGAACUCGAAGUUGUCGACAACCUGAAAUCACAAGUACUAGCGUUCCAUUACUAGCCAAUCCUAGCAAAAGCACAUCUUCCAAAAUUGAAUGAAUACUCCCUGAAAUCUCAACGAGAUAAAUAUUCCUGAUUACUUUCCAAUGAAUCCACUAAAAGUCCUUGGUGACUUCAUCGUAUGACAAAGAACAAAAUUUAAACUAUCAAAACAAGUACCCAACCUGUUCAACGACCUACUUGCACUAGAUUAAUUCCCAUGCGAACCUAGAACUGACCACACUUCAAAGAUAUGAGCAUGAAAAUUACUGAUCUUGAACCCAUGAUGAAACCAAUUCCUUAUUGCCUCAUACCUCCGAAAUACCCCUAAAAAUCCUACAUUCGAACCCAACAUGCCCAUAUUGUGGAUUCCUUGAGUUCCUUGCUGAUACGUGAUGGGUUUUGAGCAUUCUAACACUCUUAUGGUGUACAUGCAACCCUAGAAACCUUGGAUCUAUGUUUGACUAAGAUACAUGCAAAUAAUUAUUUUUCCAAGGUUCUUAUCCUAUCUAGCAUGGCAUGGGGAACUUGAAUCAAAUAAAGCUAGUAUAAUUACUUACCUUGUAGUAGUAGUUGAUUGUUUGGAGUUUUAGAGCCUAGCACCAAUAGUGUGGAUGCCUAAAAUGGAAAUCACAAAUCACCACAAACUUGGAACUUUGAGAGAAUAGUAAUCACCUUUAUUGAAAUCGGUCCUCUUACUUUACUCACCACAACUAGUGUGAUUUCAAUAACCAAGGCCUCUUUUAUAUAGUGUGGUGGAUUAGGGUUUCAUCCAUGUAAACCCUAAUACCCAUGUCUUUUCAUUUCCAUGAGAUCCAUGGGUUAAAGUUCCAUGGAGUAUCCAUGGACUUCCCAUGCAAGUGUAGCCCAUUCCAAAUAAGCAUUAGCUCACACUAUAUAAAUACAAGAGCCCAUAUUUAAUUAGUAAUACUUUUGAUCUCUAAAUUAAUUCUAGAUUAAUUAUAGAUCAAUACUAAUCAAAUAAUAAUAUUUUAUAUUAAUAUAUUAGAACUUAUAAUAUAUUAAUAAAUCAUAACUUAUACUAUUCUCAAAAGAUUAUCCAUAAAUUGUUCGGGUGAAGUGCAACCCAAAUGGACCAUGCCGGGUCGGGUCAAGUACAUACCAAAUAUAGUUAUGGACUUAGACACUAUAUCCAACAGUCUCCCACUUGGAUAAGUCUAAUAACUAUAGUUGCAAGUAUGACUUCAGGAACCGAUCAACAAUCGUAGCUCUUUAAACUCUGUUGAACUAGAACGCGCCAUUUUAGAUAAGUGAUCAUAUAAUCCUCUGUUCUAGAUAUCAGCCGGACAAAUACAUGGAACAUGGUCUUGCUUAUUGUUCAACAUUUGUUUCCCGAUUUCCGAUUUGUUUGACAUAGAACUCAACUGAACACAUCAAUUUAGUUCUAAUCGGGCCCGAUAUAUAGGUCAAAACAAAAUCAUCGAGGGGCCCAAAUAUCGCUUCUAAUCAUAGAAGGAACAUAUACACUUCAACUCAUAUUUUUUCUCUACUACUUGUUGAAUUACACACAACAGAACGGUUUAUAACAUCGAGUUACCAAUGCGUUUUCUUGCAAUCAAUGCAUAACCAACUCAUAGCCAACAAAUCAUAUCUCUAGGAUUGAAGACUUAUAUGAUAUUACCGUCUCACGAUCACUCGAGAUAAAUUCCAUGAAGUGAUACAAGUGAGCGUGGGUUGAAUCCAAUACUCAGAACUUAUGAGCACUCAUGAGUGUUGUAGCCCCGCUUUGUCUAACAUCUUAGACCUCUACAAGCCAACCCAUGGCAUUGUUGAUUCAUAUCUACUUCCAGCAUAUGACCGACUGUGGAGAGUUUGAAUAAUAUGAUAUAAACCAUAACAUAAUUAUUCUGGAAGUCAAAACAUGCAAAAAGAAAUAAUAGUAAACGAUUGACAAGAGAUAACAACACUUUACUUAUAAAUAACAGCUUUUAUUUAUCAUCAAAUGUCAGUUAAAUUUUACAAAUUUCAAGAUUAUCUAACUACUAGAACUAAUAUCAUCCUUCAGCCCUAUGCUCUGACCAUGCUGGAUAUGCUUGGCCCGAGUCAGUCCCUUCGUGAGGGCAUCUGCUGGGUUCUCAUCCGAUUAUACCCUCUUUGCCACGAGGAUUCCUUCUUCAAUUCGAUGUCUGAUGAAGUGAUAUUUUAUGUCAAUGUUUCUGGAUCUCCCAUGAUCUCUUGGUUCCUUGGCUAAGGCAACUGCACUAUUGCUUUCACAGAAAAUCUCCAUUGGCUUCUUUAUAGCUGGUACAACUCCAAGGUCUCCGAUGAAGUUCUUUAGCCAUAUAGCCUCCUUUGAUGUCCCACUUGCUGGUAUAUACUCUGAUUCACAAGUGGAUUCAGCCACUGUCUCCUGCUUGGAACUUUUCCAAGUAAUUGCCCCUCCGUUUAGGGUAAAGACCCAGCCCGACUGAGAGAUGAAAUUAUCUCUGACAGUCUGAAAGCUAGCAUCACUAUACCCUCCAACUCUCAAGUCAUCACUCCCACCAAGGGUAAGGACCCAAUCCUUAGUCCUUCGCGGGUACUUGAGAAUAUUCUUUACCACUGUCCAGUGUGCCUUGCUAGGGUUCCCCUUGUACCUGCUAACCAUGCUCAAAACAAAGGCUACAUUAGGUCGAGUACACGUCAUAGCAUACAUGAUCGAUCCUACAGUUGAAGCAUAAGGUAUUCGACUCAUUUCUGCAACCUCAGCCUCAUUAUUAGGGCUUUGUGUCUUACUCAAUCUGGCGUUACUCUAGAUGGGUAACUCUCCUUUCUUGGAGUUAUGCAUGGUGAACCUUUUCAACACUUUGUCCACAUAGGUGUUUUCACUAAGUCCAAUUAGUCUUUUACUCCUGUUUCUCAAAAUCCUUAUCCCUAGGAUAUAGGCAGCUUCACCAAGGUCCUUCAUAGUAAAAUACUUCCGAAGCCAGGAGUUUACUUCCUACAGGGUUGGGAUGUCAUUUCCUAUGAGUAGUAUGUCAUCCACAUACGGUACCAAAAAGCUGACUAUACUCCCACUAUCCUUGAAAAGCCAAAUUCUUUGACUUUCUCAUCGAAGCAAAGAUUCCAUAUGCGAGGUGCUUGUUUCAAUCCAUAAUUGGAUUUAUCGAGCUUACACACUCUAUUGGGGUACUCUUUACUGACAAAACGCUCUGGCUGAACCAUGUAAACAUCUUCAGCCAACUUUUCAUUACGGAAAGCGGUUUUGACAUCCAUUUUCCAUAUUUCAUAGUCAAGAAAUGCAGCAAUGGCUAACAGAACCCUAAUAGACUUAAUCUUGGCCACUGGUGAAAAGGUCUCAUCAUAAUCAACUCUCGGCGUUUGAUAAUAACCCUUUGCAACCAGUUGUGCCUUAUAAGUGUGUACAUUACCAUCCAUGUCGGUCUUCUUCUUGAAGAUCCAUUUGCACGCAACUAUCUUACGAUCAGGUACAUUGUCAACCAAGUUUUAAACUUGAUUGUCAUACAUGGACUGUAUCUCGCUAUCCAUAGCCUCUUUCCAUUUAGCAGCCUCAGGUCUAGCCAUGGCUUUUGUGUAGUUGUUAGGCUCAUCUAGAUUUACCAGUGUGUUAUCACUGAUAAGUGUCUCACCUUCUGCAGUAAUAUGAAAACCAUAAUAAUGCUCAGGUGCAUUCCUAACUCUGGUGGAAUGCCUCAGAGGUAUAGAUUCUUCAGUGGGCUCAACAGGAGUUUGCUCCUCAGGUUGAGGGAUAGGGUUUGAGGUUCCUUCACCACUUGACUCUUGAAUUUCCUCAAGGUCAAUUAGCCUCCCACUGUCUCCUUGGCCCAUGAAUUCUCUCUCUUGAAAGAAUUGUCUUAUUGCUAGAAAGACCACAUUAUCACUGGGUCUGUAGAAGAUGUAGCCAAAGGAUUUAUGUGGAUAGCCGAUGAAAAUCCACCUUUCGCUUCGUGGUUCGAGCUUAUCAUGAGUCUCACGCCUCACGAAAGCCUCGCAACCCCNNNNNNNNNNNNNNNNNNNNNNNNNNNNNNNNNNNNNNNNNNNNNNNNNNNNNNNNNNNNNNNNNNNNNAGAUUAAGGAUAUGGGCGGCAGUCUCUAAGGCAUACCCCCAAAAUGAGAUUGGUAGCGAAGCUCGACUCAUCAUGGAACGAACCAUGUCCAACAAGGUCCGAUUGCGCCUCUCAGCUACACCAUUCAACUGUGGUGUCCUAGGAGGUGUCAAUUAUGAGACAAUCCCACAUUCCUUAAUAUAGUCAAGGAACUCAGUACUAAGAUACUCACCACCACGAUCGGAUCGAAGCAUCUUAAUGUUCCUACCCAACUGAUUCUCCACUUCUUGCUUAAACUCUUUGAAUUUCUCAAAGGUUUCUGAAUUAUGCUUGAUUAAGUAGACAUAUCCAUAUCUACUAAAAUCAUAAGUAAAAGACACAUAGAAGCGAUUAGCAUCUCUUGUGGCUGUUCUGAAGGGUCCACACACAUGCGUGUGUAUGAGUUCCAACAAACCUUCACCCCUAGCACAAGUACCUAUAAAAGGUGACUUUGUCAUUUUACCAAGCAAACAAGAUUCACAACUAUCAUCUGACUUUAGGUCAAAUGACUCCAAGACUCCAUCCUUUUGGAGUUGGCCUAUGCGUUUCUUGCUUACGUGUACAAGACGACAAUGCCAUAAAGAUGCUUUAUCUAAGCUAGUGGAAGAGUCAAUACACAAUACAUUGUUUCAUAGAUUAUCUACAACAAAUAUAGUUUAAUACACACCAUCACAAGGUAAUGCUUUAAAAUAAAGAACAUUAUUGAAGAAAGCAUCAAUACUACCAUAUUAUUAUCANAGAAAGCAUCAAUACUACCAUUAUUAUUAUCAAAAUAAAAGGUAAAACCUUGUUUAUACAAUGAAUGAAAGGAAAUAAUAUUUCUUUCCAUUUCUGGCGAAUAAUAACAUUUAUUCAAAUCUAAUGUAAACCCACUAUUUAGCACUAAGGAAUAAACUCCUAUCUUGGUGACAGGUGAAGCUUUCCUAUUUCCCAUGGUCAAGUUUAUCUUUCCCUGCUCCACAUUCUCACUUCUUCUUAGUCCCUGCAAAUCACCACAUAUGUGAAUACCACAACCUGUAUCAAGGACCCAAGACUUAGAAUGAGGUGAGUUAUUAGAAGCAUUCGGCCUNAGGGUUAGCAGAAGGAGUGACAAAACCUUUCUUGGUUUUGCUUGAAGAGGAGCCUUCAAGGGUCUUACCCUUGGUACCCUUAGAAGGGUUCUUUCUCUUCUUCCCUUUGCCAUGCCCGAUUGCCAAGACAUUGGCCGCAGUUGGAGUAGGAGUAGGAGUAGUAACAACCGACUUACCCUUUAGACCACUUUCGGCGGUCUUCAAGAGUCCUUGAAGUUUGCUGAGGGUGACUUCUUCCUUGUUCAUGUGAUAUGUCAUGCGGAAUUGAUCAUAACACAAUGAUAAGGAGUACAAAAUGAUAUCUAUUGCUAACUCCUCAGGGAAGUUCACAUUCACCUUCAGUAAACGGUCCACAUACCUUUGCAUUUUCGUCAUGUGGCACGUGAUGGGUUCACCAUCCUUCAUUCGGGUUGUUAUCAUGGAGUAGUUUAUUUCAUAUCGCUCUUGACGAGCACUUUGAUGGUAGCGGUCCAUCAAGUCCUGGUGCAUCUCAAAAGGAUAAUAGUCCUCAUAGGACUUUUGGAGCUCGCCUGUCAUGGUGGCCAUCAUGAUGCAUGCCACUUUUGUAGCAUCUCUUUCAGGUACCUCAUAUUCAACAAGCUCUUCAAGAGUAGCAGUUGGCUCGGGUACCUUCAGCUCCUUGUCGAGAACAUAUUCUUUGUUCUCAUACCGAGUGACCAUCCUGAUGUUCCUAAUCCAACCAGUAAAGUUGGACCCAUCAAAGAUGACUCUCCCACAAAGAUUCAUGAGAGAGAAGAAGCUAGUAGGGUUUGAGCCAGAAGCAUUGUUAUUGGAAGACAUCUAAAAAGUAGAAGGAAUAGAUUAGAUUAGAUAUAGAGAUAGUCCUUAAUAAAACACCCAAAUGUAAUAUUAAGGCUAGGAUCCAACACAAUAUUUUAUAACUUAGAAGAGGGAUGCCGUAAUCUAAGCUAUAAGAUAUUUGAAGGUAGGUGAAUGACGAUUCACCAAUUUCCACCAUGAAAAACGAAAUAUUUAGUUAGGUUUUAAUUGGUUUGGAAACUCCUAGAUUCUUUGAGAUUCAUUAAACUUUCUUCAAUGACAUGUUUCAAUAUCGAGUGUGUCUUUCAUGUUUUGUGACUGGGAUGCCGAGAAUCACAAAACAAGGUGUGAAGUAACCAUGCAAAUUACUUGGUACCCUUAAUGUAUUACCCCUUAAUCGUUGUGUCGGUUAACCACACACGCUCCAUCGAUACUAUGAUAAACAUUAAGUCACCCUUUACCUACCCUGUUAAGUUCAAGUUAGUGUGCCAGUUAAUCACAUAUGCUCCACUAACGACUAAAACAAAGUGUAAAGUGUGAUUUCAUGGAUUAGCACCUUAUUCACAUUUUCCUAAAAUAACUAAGAUUGGGAAUUUAAUAAGGUUUAGUUAAUUGAGUAUUAUCAGUAUACUUUUAAUGUGAAUUUNNNNNNNNNNNNNNNNNNNNNNNNNNNNNNNNNNNNNNNNNNNNNNNNNNNNNNNNNNNNNNNNNNNNNNNNNNNNNNNNNNNNNNNNNNNNNNNNNNNNNNNNNNNNNNNNNNNNNNNNNNNNNNNNNNNNNNNNNNNNNNNNNNNNNNNNNNNNNNNNNNNNNNNNNNNNNNNNNNNNNNNNNNNNNNNNNNNNNNNNNNNNNNNNNNNNNNNNNNNNNNNNNNNNNNNNNNNNNNNNNNNNNNNNNNNNNNNNNNNNNNNNNNNNNNNNNNNNNNNNNNNNNNNNNNNNNNNNNNNNNNNNNNNNNNNNNNNNNNNNNNNNNNNNNNNNNNNNNNNNNNNNNNNNNNNNNNNNNNNNNNNNNNNNNNNNNNNNNNNNNNNNNNNNNNNNNNNNNNNNNNNNNNNNNNNNNNNNNNNNNNNNNNNNNNNNNNNNNNNNNNNNNNNNNNNNNNNNNNNNNNNNNNNNNNNNNNNNNNNNNNNNNNNNNNNNNNNNNNNNNNNNNNNNNNNNNNNNNNNNNNNNNNNNNNNNNNNNNNNNNNNNNNNNNNNNNNNNNNNNNNNNNNNNNNNNNNNNNNNNNNNNNNNNNNNNNNNNNNNNNNNNNNNNNNNNNNNNNNNNNNNNNNNNNNNNNNNNNNNNNNNNNNNNNNNNNNNNNNNNNNNNNNNNNNNNNNNNNNNNNNNNNNNNNNNNNNNNNNNNNNNNNNNNNNNNNNNNNNNNNNNNNNNNNNNNNNNNNNNNNNNNNNNNNNNNNNNNNNNNNNNNNNNNNNNNNNNNNNNNNNNNNNNNNNNNNNNNNNNNNNNNNNNNNNNNNNNNNNNNNNNNNNNNNNNNNNNNNNNNNNNNNAUUCUAACACUCCUAUGGUGUACAUGCAACCCUAGAAACCUUGGAUCUAUGUUUGACUAAGAUACAUGCAAAUAAUUAUUUUUCCAAGGUUCUUAUCCUAUCUAGCAUGGCAUGGGGAACUUGAAUCAAAUAAAGAUAGUAGAAUUACUUACCUUGUAGUUGUAGUUGAUUGCUUGGAGUUUUAGAGCCUAGCACCAAUAGUGUGGAUGCCUCAAAUGGAAAUCACAAAUCACCACAAACUUGGAACUUUGAGAGAAUAGUAAUCACCUUUCUUGAAAUCGGCCCUCUUACUUUACUCCCCACAACUAGUGUGAUUUCAAGAACCAAGGCCUCCUUUAUAUAGUGUGGUGGAUUAGGGUUACAUCAAUGUAAAUCCUAAUACCCAUGUCUUUUCAUUUCCAUGAGAUCCAUGGGUUAAAGCUCCAUGCAGUAUCCAUGGACUUCCCAUGCAAGCCUAGCCCAUCCCAAAUAACCAUUAGCCCACACUAUAUAAAUACAAGAGCCCAUAUUUAAGUGGUAAUACUUUUGAUCUCUAAAUUAAUUCUAGAUCUAUACUAAUUAAAUAAUAUUAUUUUAUAUUAAUAUAUUAGAACUUAUAAUAUAUUAAUAAAUCAUAACUUGUACUAUUCUCAAAAGAUUAUCCAUAAAUUGUUAGGGUGAAGUGCAACCCAAAUGGACCAUGUCGGGUCGGGUCAAGUACAUACCAAAUAUAGUUAUGGACUUAGAAACUAUAUCCAACAAUACCACCAAAGAUAGAACCCGUUGUUGGUCUUCUCUCACUUAAAGCUUGCUCUAACGAUGGUCAAUGCCUCCCACAUCAAAAAAAAAAAAAAUAGGCUCACCCGAAUACCCUCUAAGCAUGACUCCAGGUAUACAAAAUGGAAUAUGAAGCUUCUCAAAAUAAAAUGUAUGUGACGUCAACUGGUGGAACAUGUAUCUCCUCGGCUUAUGAUUGCAAUGUUCGGUUCCUCACCACGGGAACAUCACCUUGACCUCACGACCAUCAGUAAUCCUUAUAGUGGAUAGAGCAUCUGCCCUCACUACUCCGCUCGUCAACUCCAGACAGUUGGCCUUCUUGUGGCUCACUUGAUUACAGUGGAAAUAUAAUGGACUCGUUCCUUGGGGACAAUCUCUACAGACAUAACCAAGCUUGUGGCACUUGUAGAAACCUAAACCCCUAGAUCGAAAAACUCCAUUGUGCUGCUUCUUGCACGUACUACACUGACCUCGGCCCUGUUGGCCUCUUACUCGCUGAUCAGAAGUAUUGGGUCUGUUCACAAGACCCCUAACUGUCUGCAUCUUUUCUGGCUUCCUCUUUCUAAGGUGCUCCAAAUCAAUCUCUUGCUUCUGGGCUCUAGUAAUCAUAUCAUUCAGGGUCUUACACCCUGACAAGCUCAUAAAAUCAAUAGUGUCAUCCCUCAGCAUUUCAUGAUAGCUCACCUUUUUCAUCUCCUCAUCCACCGCAUACUGUAGAGCCAAAAAAGCCCUAUCCCGAAACUUGGCAGUGAUCUCUGCCAUAGUCUAAGUAUUCUGGCGAAGGCCCUGAAACGCCCUCACUAGCUAAUGCACCUCAAUUCCCAGUGCAAACUCCUGGAAUCUCAACGCAAACUUUUCCCAAGACAUGGCCACUAUGGCAGCAGAUCCAAAUACCCUACUGACCUCCUCCCACCAAUUAUGAGCUCGGUCCCUCAAAAGACAAGAUGCAAAACCUACAUUCCGCCCCUCAAUGCAGCAGCUCUUCCAUUGAGCAUUCUCCAUGUCAUCGAUCAACGGUGGCUAGUAAUGAGGUCAUUAUCCCCAAAGAACUCUGGAGCUCCACAAACCUUAAACUCCCAAAAUGAGGGAGUUUGUGCUCCCAGUUGUCCUUCUGCGAUCUCGCACGAAAAGCUCUGAGUCGCUCAUCUUGCAACACCAUAAUCCCAAACCAGUAUGCGUCCAGACAAUCUGGCAUAAUCUCGAUGAUCCCUUCCUUGAUCGUACAAAAUAACACAUUAGUGUGCUUAAAAAUACAGCGGGUGAUCUCCGACGAGAUAAACUCCCACAUCUGCUCAUCAAGCGGCUCAGUUCCAACACCUGAGUCUAAAUCAUAUCCUUCUCCACGAGUGCUCACCAGCACACUCAAAAGAAACCAUACAAUAAUUAGAACAUACUCAAAGAAUCCUCAUCCCAUAGGAUUCCUAGAUUUUCCACGACUCCCUUCGAUUCGGGCGUGGAUCAUGAGCUUUCAGUAACACAUGCCCAAUACUAUCUUCCACACCUAUCCAUACUUUCCUCAAGAGUCAUCAUGAAUCUUCCAAGUCAACUUCUCAAUCGGUACUCCAAGUACAUGCUAAACAGCAUAAUCAAACACAUUAAAUCACUUCCUAGGCUCUCAUAGGUCCCGACCUCACGCUGCCAUCAGCUGUUGAAGAACUCCUACUAAUGUCAGCUAACUACUUCACAAAUGCAGUCACAUUCCAUAAAGUUUAGAUAAUCCUUCGAGUAAAAUACUCAACCCUACAAUGGUAGACUCAAAAGAGAGCUGGACAAUAGAGUCAAAUCCGCUUUCUGGGGUUAAUUAACCUUGGCAACAUGUGAAUUAACAUAUUCACUUAAUAACUAACUCACAUCACUAAGAGUUCCAUAAAGCACAAAGCAAGCAACAUUCAUGCAGUAACACUCCAAGCUACAGAAUAAACAAAGGAAAUCCCAAGCUCACAUACUACAACCCAUGCCAGGAACUUCCAUUCUCGUUGACGGUGCCUUAUGAAUGCAAAUUAUACACAAUACAUGAUCAAAUAGACUGUCGAAUGAAAGACUCUACCCUAGGACCACAACUUGACAAUGAACAGGAAAUAUGGGCAAAUCAAUCAUUCUAGGGCUAUGUGAUCCUAACCGUAUAAAAUUUAUCACACACCCAAACCGGAAUGGUGAAAAUGUUCGGGAGCGGAGGACGUCAUGUACAUAUCACAACAAUUGCAUAAUAGUAAUCAGAGUACAACAACCAUAUAUUGAUAAAGUAUAAGUUAUUACAUAUGUGUUCAAAUCAUUGUAUAUUGACACCAAAAUGUAUAGUAAAAGUUAAAAGACAUGAGUCUUUGACGCUCCGUCUUCUCAAAAACUCGUUGAUGUAUCUAUUUACUGAUUUCCUGAGAAUAGAAGUAGUUUUGAAAAAAGUGUCAACAAUUAAGUUGGUGAGUUCAUAAGCAUGUUUGCAACUGAAAUCAAUUUUCUGUUCCUUGAAAUUGUAAGUAUGUUUUCUUAGAAAAUCUUAUAUUUUCUGUUGUAAUAUGUUGUAAUCAAACGAGUAAUUUUUAUUGUACUAUGACAUAGUAAAUGUAAUUUUAACUCACAUAAAACCACGAAAAACAUGUUCUCCAUAAACCGAAAUAGUAUUAUGUAUUUGUACUUGUAUGAAAACUAUGUAAUUGUAAAUAUCUGGAUUCACCAGUUGUAUUUGUAAAAUACUGUAUUAUAGUUUUAUUAGUUAAUAAAACUAUGUGAAGUUGUUUACUUAUUCAUACACUAAUUGUAUUGUUCAAUACCAAAUUGUGAGUUAUCAUAACCAUGUUUGAUGACCUAAGAUGGCCUGAACACGAUGUUCUUCCAGCGUCGCAAUCAAUACGACAUUUGUCACCUCAGGCCUACCGGUCUAGCUGUUGCAAGUAGCUCAGGUGUGGGAUUGUUAGUCAUAUAUAGAUAUAUACACAAGUGUCAUGCUCUCCCUCCAGGAGACUUUGGUUAUAUUAUCAGGACAUGAUUGGUACUUAGAUAAGUACGUGAAGUGUGUCUCACAAAUGCUAUAUUGGAGGUUACAUGUAGAAUAAUGAAAAGUUACUUUGUAUUAGAUAAACUCUAAGUAUAUCUCAUAAACUAUAUUCAUUAUAGUUUAUAUGUUUAUUUUUCGUAAUGUAUUAUGUACUUUGAAAAGCAACAUGUAAGUUGCAUAGACUAUACCUAUUAUAGUUUAUAUGUUUAUGUUUUACUGAAAUGAAAAUCUUUAUUAUGUAAAUGAUUCGGCAGGUUUAGAUUGUAAAAUUUGUGAUACGGUUGUUCCAUGAAAUUCAAUGUUUUAUGUUCCAAUGGUACUAAAAUAGUUUACAAAAACUAUAUUUUUGCUUAACAAGUUUAAAAUCAUUUUAUACCUAUAUAAAUAUAAUGUUUAUAUAAUUAUGAUUAAAUACAUAGUCGAAUAAAUAAUUCAACCCAUAGCCCACAACCAAACAAGGAAAAGGAAAUGGAGCCAAAUUAUCAAUUCUAAGCCUAUUGAACCCUAAUUAUAUAUACAUAUAUAAAUAUACAUUUUUAAUAACGAAAAUAGUUAAUAAAAUAUUGAAAACAUUUAGGUAUUAACACAAAUUCUAUUGUCUUACACUUGUAUUCCCCCCCUUAAAAUAGUGAAAAAUCAUGAAAAUAUAGGGGUAUGAACUCACCUUUUGGGUGAUAACGGUUUUGCUAUCAGAUAGAAAUGGUGUCUACGGGGUAGGACACAUGAAAGAUAUUGUAUCCUAAUGAUNNNNNNNNNNNNNNNNNNNNNNNNNNNNNNNUAUAUAUAUAUAUAUAUAUGUUUGUAUAAUCAUAAGUUUUAUAACUAAUACUUACCAAAACUUGUAGGAAUAAUGGAUGUGAGAUGCCUCUCUAAGUUGUUUUUGUUCUUGGAAGUGAAAGGAAAUUUGAGAGAAAAGUGAAGGAAAUUCAUUUACUGGAUGUAAGAAAUAAGAAUGAUCCCCUUUUGAUUGCUUAAGUAUGAAGAAAAGAUUGGCGGUUUGUAGAAUUUUCGGCCAUAAAGUGGCUGAUUUUGGUCGAGAACCCUACCCAAGGAAAAUGAUUUCGGCCGAGAACUCUAAGUCGGCUCGCACUUUUUCGGUCCAAAGAUGGGGUGAUAUCGGUCAAGGUGAGGUUUGCGGUCCAGGCGAUUCCGGUCCGAGAAGGGAUAAGGUUUUGAGGGUUUUUGGUGGGUGUUCUCGGUCUCGCAUAUAGUCACCAAAAGGUGAUUUCGGUCCCUUCAAUUCUUGAUUUGGUGUUUUCGACCAAGUGGUUUGAAAUUAUAAAAAUUCAAAGCAGUUAAAUAAUGAAGUAAUCUAGAUAUAGAAAAUGUUUAAAUAAAUAAUAACAUUAUUUGACAUAAUACUUGAUGUUUUUGAUUUUUAUUUAGCAAGUUUGACUUUUACAAAAUUUAAAAUAACGAGUUAUUGCACAAUUCUUAAAGCAUACACUUAGCAAUUACUACUACCACUACAUAUUCCCAAUCUAACAUAGCAUCCAAUGCUUCGUAGGCUAUAAGGCAUCACAUAUCAAGCUAAUCCAUCAUGCAAUUCCUGAAAGUAUACCUAGCCUUAUCUUAGCUUGCAACAUUCAUAUCAUAUAACACAUCAACAUGUAUGGGUAUUUUGGGAAUCACUUACUUGAGCUCGUCUGAUUGCACGCAUCGCACCCCUCUUUCUUCAUAAAAGACUUUUUAGAAAUUUAUUUUCUUUUAAAAGAUUACAAACUCCUCAGUUUGAGUUCAAGCACACCCGAGAGUGUAUCCAAAUCUCUCAAACCAAGGCUCUGACACCAAAUUGUAACACCCCAAAAAUUCAUAGUAAAAUUUUCAUUUUUAAAACAAUAAAACAUACAAACGAUUUAUUCCAAAACGUAUCAAGGUGAAUAUAUUAUUUAAAAAUCAGAGUAAAUAUUGAAAAUUGGCAAUGUGGAAAACUCUUGUGGAUGCGGUGCAGUCACACCGGAAGUACCUGAAACCAAACGUAAAACCGUAAGCACAAAGCUUAGUCAGUUCCCUAAAAUAACACAUGCCAAAACAUACAAUUGGGCGUAACCCUGGGGUAUAAUGCAACCCGAUAUACAGAUAUGGGCCCCGCCCUAGGGACUCGCAAUGGGGUGUAUUUCAAUCCGAUCAACACAUAUGAUAUUUAAACCUAAACAUAUGAUAAUGGGCCCCGCCCUUGGGUUUAUUUAACCCAUCAUAUAAACACAUAUAAACCACAUAAGAACUAUAAUCUUAAAUAACACAAAAAAGGACUGGCGUUGGUGCCUUCGACCCAUGGAUACAGUGAGAAGACUCACCUCUCAAUCAGUAAGAUCACUGAACAAGAUAUUGCUCUGAAUAUCAGCUCUACAGGUUACAUGUUCAUUGGAACAUGACCAAAGAUAACUUAUAAUCAAUAUACCCAAAAUACCCUAGGUCAAAAUUAGUCAAACACCUAGUCAACGUCAAAGUCAAUCGAGUUAACCAAGUUAACUCGGUGAGUACGUUGGGCGUAUUCAACAGGGACGCAGGCCGUACCACACGUUUGACCAGAGUUGAGGGGUUGACCAUGUAUGCACAACAUACCCUUUGAUACGCCCAACAUACACAACCAACACUCUUUCUUCCCUUUAAGAUCCUAAUCGCUAAGAUCUUUUAUACAAAAAUCCAGAUCUAGCCCUGGAAUUAUGUUCUCAAACAUAAAGUUUCAAACUUUAUGAUCUUGCACGGAUAUUAAGUGCUCAAUACCAAAUAUCCUAACUUCUUAAGUCUUUAAGACAUCCUAGCUCAUGCAUGGAAGAGAACUAAGGUCCAAGAUUACAUUUUUAUGGUUCCUAAUAACUCUAUAAUGGAUAAAGUUUCCAACUUUAUCCAUAAGAAUGGUCAAAACAACCGAGAUCUAGUCUUUCAGUCCCAAAGGGACAAAAAUUGCAUCUUUUUCAACUUACUUCAUUAAGUCAAAGUGUCCAGCCUUUAGAUUAGAAUCAAUAUGAUUUUUAGAUGGAUAAAGUUUCCAGCUUUAUCCAUAACAAGGUCACAAACUUUCAAGAUCUAAACUUUCACCACUAAAGUAACCGAAAGCUCAUAACACCCAAAAGUAGCUAGAUCUAACAAACACAUCAUCAAGAUUCAAUCUUUAUACCUAUAGAAGAAAUAUCAAGUUAAACAAUGUCUGGAUCUACAAGCUCCAAUGCAACCAAAACUUCUCCAAAGAGCUACUUCUUCUCCAAAAUGUACCAAGAACACUCCAAAGCACUCACUGACACCUUCUUUUCCUCAAAAGGCUCAAACUAAGGUUAGCGUUUUCAAGGGAUGGGUAUUAGAGAGGUGGAUGCUGAGAAUUGAUUGGUUUUGUGAAGGUAAGGAGCAUAAAUAGGGCUCAAACUACAAAAAUACGGGGUUGUGAGGCUCUUGUUAGGCGCAAUACCUAAGACAAAAUGGAGCCAAGAUGUGUAUUUCAUUGGUUACCCAUAGAAGUUGUUUGGAUACUUGUUCUAUAGGCCCGUGAAUAACAUGGUCUUUGUAGCUCGAAGAGGAGUCUUUCGUAAAAGAGAGCUCAUCUCCAAAGAGGACAGUGGGAGUACGAUUAAUCUUGAAGAAAUUCAAGAGUCAUCCAAUGAGGAAAUUUUAGAUGACACUAGCACAAAACUUGAGGAGGAAAUACUUGUUGAGCCCAUUAGCAAUUUAUUACCUCUUUGGCGAUCCAGUAAAGUUAGCAUGCCACCCUCAUUUUAUGGCUUCUAUAUAACUACAAAAGGUGACACGUUUAAUAGUGAUAAUACAUAGUAAAUUUGGAUGAGCAAGCUAACUACAAGGAGGCAAUGGGAAGCCUUGAUGUUGCUAAAUGGAAAGAUGCAAUGGAUAGCAUGAUCCAAUACAUGUAUGAUAACCAAGUAUAGAACUUGGUUGAUCAUACACCAGGUCAGAACACAAUGGGAUGUGAAUAGAUCUUCAAGAAGGAGACCGACAUGCAUAGUAAUGUACGGACUUUCAAGGCCAGACUGGUUACAAAGAGCUUUAUUCAAAUCCAGUUGCCAAGAUCAAGUGAAUUAGGGUAAUGCUUGCCAUAAUUGUCUUUAAUGAUUAUUAAGUAUGCCAAAUGGAUGUUAAAAUUGAUUUCCUUCAUGGGAAGUUGAUUAAGGAUGUUUACAUGUAUCAGACAAUAGGUUUUGAACAUACCAAAUUUCCCUAAUGUCACACCCCAAAACCAUGAACGGCGGAAACGUUCUGAGGCGGAGGACGUCAUGUACAGUAUCACAACAAUGAAUAAUAGUAAACAAGCAACAACAUCAUCCAUUGGAUUAAUAAUAUAAUUUCAUACAUGUGUCUUCUGUCAAGUUAUAUAGACACCAAAAUAUACAGAUCAAAAUAAAAGACGAGUCUUUAAUGAACUCCAUCUUCUGGAAACCUGGCACCUGUACCUAUCUAUUGGUGACCUGAGAAUAUAAGUUAUUUUGAAAGAGAGUAUCAGCUUUAAAGCUGGUGAGAUCAUAAGUAUUUUAGUAUCUUAAUUUGUAUGUAAGUAUUUGUAUGUAUAUGGAAUGUAUGUAUGUAAAAGUUUUGAACCUCCUUAAAAAACCAUAUGUUUCCUACUAAAAGUAUCCUUCUACCAAGGCAUCUAGUAUCUGUGUGUGUCUCUUGUAAGAGUGUGAAUUUUCCCAAAUCCGACUAUCAUUAACCAAAAAUAUAGCUUCUACAUUACCAUGCAUCGUGUGAAUGUUCACGAAGUGAAUGUAAUGGGAAAAUGAAAUAGUACUAUGGUGUAGUAUCAAAUAACUACAACCGUAAUAACUACAUUAAAUCAAUUGUAAUUUAAAGUAACAUGUGAUUGACCUAUAUCCUGCUACCGACUCAAGUAAAACGACGAUGUAAGAUGCCGUAAGAAAUGGCAUUUGGCACCUGUAGACUUGCAAGUCCCACUGUAGCGAGCAACAAGCUGUAGGAUAGUCAAUCCAGUAUAGAUCUAUACGCAAACUCAUACUCUCCCCAAUUAAGGAGAUUCUGGAUACAAAACCGGUCAUGGCAGGAAGUGCCAUGACCCGUUUAAUGGUUCACAUAACUGCAUGAAUGUACAUGUAAUGAAUGUGGUAACUUUAAGUGUACUCUUUCUCUGUCUAGCCUGUAUGUACUGUAAUGUUCUGCAUGUGCUAGCUGUAAUGUGUGUUCUCUCUCUUUCUAGCAUGUAUAGUAAGGUACUGUGUGUACUACUCGUAUUGACUCAUGAAUGAACUGACUCAUUGUAUGUUUCAUUGUUCUAGUAAUAGUAUUAGUGUGUUCUUGUGGUACCCUAUGGUAACUUACUAGUAAUGUAUGAUCAUGAUUGUAAACCCUUGCUACCCAAAGGUAUGGAAUUGAUUAAAAGAACUUUUAUGUCUAUAUAUGUAUACAUAAUACAUAACUAAUGGAUAGACGACCUUCGGACAGAUAACCGAUGCCCUCAAGCCACAUCCCAACGAGGAAUAGGAGAUAAAGCGAGUUGGCCUUCCUAAGCCCUUUAAGCAUUACUUAUAUAACUAUACACACAUAGGCAGGCAUUUGAUAAUAAGUAUAAAAGACUUUAAGUAAAUGUAUUUGAUAAGUAAAAGAGUUUGUAAAACAGUUUGAAGUAAAACAGUUUGAUAAACAGUUUGAACAGUAAGCAAACUACUGGUUUGGUAGUUAUUAAUCACAUGUGAUUUAUGUAAUAACUAUAAGUAUUCAACUUGUACUCCCCCCUCCCCAUAAAAUCAUUUAAAAACAUUUAAACCAUUGAUUAAGGGGUAUGAACUCACCUGCAGUGAGUGGUACAGAUGACCUGAAGAUGUAGGAUUGCUAGGUGUCAAGUGAAGUCUUGAACACACUCUAAGAUCCUAGUUAACAUAUAAUAUCGCAUAUAUGUAUCCAAUUAGUCUUUAAACAACUAAUAAACAAAGUCAAGACACCCUAGGACAUGCAAAACACCUUAUACAAGUGCUAUAAAUCCCAAGGAUUGCAUCUAAGUGUUGUAGGGAAAGGCUAGUGUGCUUGGGGUUCAAGGAAAACUGCAUUAUGGAGUUUACGGUUUUGUGGCCACAACCAAAAGAGUUUAAGGUCAUAAACCCUUGAUUUUACGGCCAUAAGCUCACACAAUUUUUGACCAUUUGUUGCUUGACGCCUUAAGAAUCCCUAGAAACUUUUCUACUUGAAGGUUUAGUCCUCGGAAGAGAUUAGGGAACCAUUUCCCUCCUUUGAGGAGUUCACGGCCCUAAGACAAAUUUCCUUUGUGUUUGCGGUCGUAAUCUCCUAUGAUUUAUGGUAAUUUGGGGCUUUCAAGUCCUUUGCUCAACAAGGAAGUGAUUUAGACAUUUUUCUAAGGCAAGAGAAGGACUUAGGCACACUUUGGUACCUUUACUUGGUGUGUACGGUCCAAGAACAUUCUUGGACCGUGAACACCUAGCUCUUAGUCUUCUAGGGGCGAUUUAUUGAUGUAAAGAUGUAUAACAAGCUCUAUGAUACCCUAAGAUAGAAGUACUUACAAUAUAGCAGCUUGAAUUGAGCUAAAAAUCCAAGAACACUAGAUUAAGGCCUAAUGUACCUUGGAUUUAGCAUUCCAUGCUUUCCGAAGCAUAUCAAGCCCUUCUAGGGUAAGACCUUCAAUAGAACAAGGUCACCCACCUGGAAUUCCAACGGUUUCCUACGUUUAUCAACGUAGCUUUUCGGUCGGUCUCUGGAGGCUUUCAGUCGUUCACGGAUCUGAACGAUCUUCUCCGUCGUUUCCCGUAUGAUCUUCGGACCUGUGAGAGUGCUUUCAGGAACUCCUCCUUUAGCUAACUGGGUAUCACCCACCUCAGCCCAACACAGAGGGGAUCUGCACUUUCGGCCGUAGAGGGACUCGAAUGGAGUAGCCUUUAUGCUUGUAUGAUAACUGUUGUUGUAGGAAAAUUCGACAAAGGGGUAAAUGAGUAUCCCAUGCUUUCCUAAAGUCGAUCAUACAGGCUAGCAACAUAUCUUCCAACGUUUGGAUAGUCCUCUCACUUUGCCCUUCGGUCUGUGGAUGGUAGGUUGUACUCAUGUCCAGUCUAGUUCCUGAGGAGCUUUGUAACGACUGCCAGAAUCUCAAAGUGAAUCUAAUAUCUCUGUCUGAGAUAAUGGAUAAGGGAACACCGUGCAGUCGUACAAUCUCCCUAAUGUAAGUUCUUGUAAGCUUCUCCAUCUUGUCUAUUUCUUUGAUCGACAGGAAGUGUGCAGACUUGGUCAAUCUGUCGACGAUGAUCCAUAUGAUAUCAAGUCCACCCGUUGUCUUGGGCAACUUGGUUAUGAAAUCCAUAGUGAUCUGCUCCCGCUUCCAUUCCGGUAUCUCCGGCUGUUGUAAUAGACCGGAGGGUUUCUGGUAUUCGACCUUGACCUUUGUGCAAGUAAGGCAGUUACUCACGAAGGUAGCAAUCUCUGCUUUCAUGUUAGGCCACCAGUAUAACUUUUUAAGAUCCAGAUACAUCUUAUCUGAUCCUGGGUGCACGGAAUAAUGAGUGUUGUGCGCCUCGUUCAUGACCAAGUCUCUAAACCCACCGAGUCUCCGGGUCCAGAUCCGGUCCAUGAAAUAAUAAGCUCCGCCACCCAUAACCUCCAAGUUCUUAUCCAUCCCUCUUAGGGAUUCACCCGCCACAUUUUCAGGCUUCAAGGUGUCGAGCUGAGCCGGCUUAAUUUGUGUGGACAAAUGUGAAUGGAUAGUCAUAGUCAAUGAUUUGACUCUACAACCAUAAUAUUCCUUCCGACUUAGGGUGUCAGCUGCUACGUUGGCUUUACCCGAAUGAUAACGAAUUUUGCAUUUGUAAUCACUAAGUAGCUCAACCCACCGUCGUUGUCUCAUGUUGAGCUCCUUCUGGUUGAAUAUAUGUUGUAAGCUUUUGUGGUCUGUGAAGAUAGUGCUUUUCUUACCGUACAAGAAAUGUAUCAAGAUCUUCAGAGCAAACACAACUGCUCCUAGUUCAAGAUCGUGGGUCGUGUAGUUGACCUCAUGUGUCUUCAGUUGUCUCGAGGCAUAGGCGAUGACCUUACCUCGCUGCAUCAGAACACAUCCGAGUCCUUUAUUCAACGCAUCGCAAUAGACAAUGAAGUCUUGUAUUACUUCAGGAAGGGAUAGUAUUGGUGCGGUGCACAAGGCUCGUUUGAGCGUUUGAAACGCUCUUUCCUGCUUCUCUUCCCAGUCAAAGGUCACGCCCUUCUGGGUCAGUGUUGUAAGAGGUUUCACAAUGCGGGAGAAGUUCUGAAUAAACCUGCGCCACUAGCCAGCGAGGCCUAGAAGUUGACAAAUUUCUGUAGGCGUCUUCGGUGCUGACCAGUUCUCAAUGACCAUGAUUUUGGAAGGGUCCACAUGUAUACACUCUUCGCUAACCACGUGCCCUAAGAAUUCGACUCACCGAAUCCAAUAUUCACAUUUUGAGGACUUCGCGUAGAGCUUCUCCGAACGUAAUGUUUCGAGGACGUGACGCAGAUGUUCACUAUGCUCCUCAUUACUUCGAGAGUAGAUAAGUACGUUAUCGAUGAAGACGAUGGAGAACUAAUCCAAGUAGGGACGACACACCUUAUUCAUUAAGUCCAUGAAUACAACGGGCGCGUUUGUUAAUCCGAACGGCAUCACUAUGAACUCGUAGUGCCCAUAACGAGUUCGGAAGGCUGUCUUUGGAACAUCCUCCCCUAGCACUCGUAGUUGGUGAUAUCCGGAUCUCAAGUCAAUUUUUGAAAAUAAGUUUGCCCCUUGAAGUUGGUCAAAUAAAUCGUCGAUACGAGGCAACGGAUAACGAUUUUUGACCGUCAGCUUGUUGAGCUCCCUAUAGUCGAUGCACAUACGAAACGAUCCGUCUUUCUUCUUGACGAACAAGACUGGAGUUCCCCAGGGGGAGAAGCUUGGUCUUAUAAAGCCCUUGCUGAGCAGUUCGUUACGUUGUCUGGACAGUUCUUGCAUCUCUGCAGGUGCUAGACGAUAGGGCGAUUUGGCUACGGGGGUAGCUCCUGGAACUAAGUCGAUUCAGAACUCGACUUGAAGUUGCGGAGGUAAUCCUGGGAGUUCUUAUGGAAAGAUGUCGGGAAAUUCGCGUACUACUGGAAUGUUCUAAAUGUCCUUCAUUUCUUGGCUCACAUCGAGCACAUGAGCAAGGAAUUAACGACAUUCCUUUCGCAAGAAUUUCUGAGCUUGCAUGCUCGAGAUGAUAUGAAGGUUCGUGCCGGGUUUGUCGCCAUAAACUACUAUGGUUUCGCCAGACAGCAGAUUAAGGCGAACAGCCUUUUCGUAACACAUGAUAUCGGCACGAUGAAGACUCAACCAAUCCAUGCCGAUAAUGACAUCGAAACUUUUAAUGGAGAUCGGCAUGAGAUCGAUCGAAAACGAAUGGCUAUCUAAACAUAGGGUAGACCCUAUGAAUAUACUUCUAGUGCUCUCUGUCUUUCCAUUAGCCAUUUCUACAUUGAAGGGUUCAUUAAGUGCUCGUGAUUUUUUCUUUAGUAAAUGAGCAAAUGUUUGGUUUAUGAAACUCCUCUCCGCUCCACUAUCAAAUACAAUGCAUGCAUAAGAGUUAUCGAGGAGGAACGUACCAGUGACCAUUGUGGGGUCGGCAAGCGCUUCCUCAUGGCCUAUGGCCAAAACUCUUUCCACUCCACCGGCAAACCCUGCCUUCGGGCAGUUUCUUUUGAAGUGGCCUACCUCGCCACAUCCGUAGCAAGUUUGUCCCACUCCAGCAUCGGGGGCUUGGUUGAUUGGCUUCGCCGGAGCUUUAUAGAAACAGGCAGUGUGCCCCUUCCCGUUGCAGUUCAGACACUGCAUCUCCCGGCAGGCGCCGACGUGAUGGAAGUUGCAUUUGUUGCACUUAGGCAAACUUCCAGCGUACUGAUUUACCGGAGCAGCAGCGGCAGGUGCUAUCGCAGCAUGUAGUGCCACGACAUGCUGCUUUUUGGCAGCCUUAGCCUUCUUCUUGUCAUCCCAAAACUUCCGCUUGGAAUCAGUGGUUCUUGCAGGUUCUGAGAUGGCCAGGGUAGUUGCUGCGGCCGGGGUACGAACCCCAUGGUCUAUGAGCCGCUGUGCCAAACGUUUGGCACUAUCAAAUGUAGUGGGGUGUGAUGCCAAAACAUUUCCGUGGGAUGGUGGCACCAGCCCCCAUAUGUGUCUCUCGAUUUUCUUUCCCUCUGUAUGAACCAUGUUGGGACAGUGGGCCACCAGUUCACAGAAGCUGGCGGUGUAGGCAACUACGUUGGAGCCCUUCAUGGUUAGGCUCCAUAGUUCUUCCUCUAGCUUCUGAAUCUCGCCCCUUGGGCAGUACUCCUCAAUCAUGAGGUCUUUCAAAGUUUCCCAGCCAAUAGCAUCAGCCACUAUAAGAGAUAGUGACUUAACAUGGCUGUUCCACCAUGUUAGGGCUUUCGUUUCGAAGCUGCAAGCAGCGAACUUCACCUUGCUCUCCUCGAGACAACAGCAGAUUUUGAAAACCAAUUUAGUUUUCUCGAACCAUUGCGAGAGGGAAAUGACUCCGCCAGUCCCCUUGAAGGACAAUGGCUUGCAGUUGGUGAAGUCCUUGUAGGAGCACUCUUUCAAGCGCACUGGGAUUUCACAAUGAGUUGACAGGACAGGGGUUCCUCCUCCAUGGACUAACUCUUCAUAGCCCAACAAUACUAUUGAAUGUAGAUCUAGAACUAAUAGAUGAUCACAUUUGGAUAUUAACUCUCAUAAGAUUAGGUACCUGUCAAUAUUACUGGAAUUACAGAUGUAACAAGUUUGGGAAAAACGGCCAACAGAAAGAGGCCUUACAUCAACAAAAAUGGGAAAAUUUUGACAGAAUUACAACCUAACCAAGAGCUAAAAGGCCUAUGAUUUUACAAAGAUAAGGAAUUAGACCAGAGUUUUACAUAACUAGGUUAUAUCCAAAUGGGAGAAGUUGAUGAGAAUCUAUCAGCGACGAGAACUACCAGAGUGAGUUCUUGAUCCCGAUAGGAGACGUUCUAUGUCCCUCAUGCGCCUAUCAGCUCUUGCUUGCUGAGCUCGAAGUUCUCUGACUUCAGCAAGUUCCCUCCGAUGAGUUGCAUAGUGAACCAGAGCCCUUUCGUGAGCAAACUCUAGCUAGCGAAUGUGGACAAUGUUAAUGCCAGAGUUGGCGUCAAUCUCCAAGACUUGAUUGAUAGUUGAUUGACCCAGUAUCGUGUUCUGAUAAAUCCUACGAACCAUGGCGGGUAGGACUCUGUCAGCAGAACCUCCCUCAGUGAGGUUGUAGAAACUUCUGUCUCCAUUGUAUGGGAUAGGUUAACCCUGUUCCUGGCUCCAUGUAUUCAUGUUUGUGGCCUACAGGGGUGUGGGUCCUUGAAAUGUUGGACGAGGUUUGGGUUUUCAUCAGCUAGAAGCAGGUUGUUGACUUCUGGCUCUGAGUCAGAACCAUCAGAAAACCCUUCAGCUUCAUGAUCAUCCAAAGGAAUUGGGUGGUCAUCUUCUGGUUCUUCUUCCAUCCAUCCUGUAUUGCCGUGGUUGGGAUAGUACGAGUCUCCGGGAAGGUGGAAUCCAGCCAUUAAAUCUACGCGAGAAGAGAGGUAUAAGAAUCUAGCACAUAUGUAACCUAUAGUAAUGCAAAAUACCCCUUUUGUAGUUUAAGUUUAGGUUCUAUUGUUCUCAUUGUUGUAUUGUGGGUAAGUUUUUAGACUUGUUGCAACCUCACAACCACACUUAGGCACAUGCUAGUCAACCCUCGGAUAAUAUAGUUGAUCAGGCUAUAUCUUCCCAGUUUUGACUAUAUGUCUCUAAGUCUACUUGUGUUGCUCAACAAUCAUAAUACUUUUGUACUGUCUUAGUGACACUAAUUUUAGUAUGAAUGCAGGCAUGUAUGCUUAUUUAAAUAUUUUAAUAUUUAAAGUAUAAACUCUUGGUCAGAGUAUUUCAAUCCCAUUGUAUUUAUAGUUAGUAUAUCUUUUAUGAGUUGAUAUACUCAAUUCACUAUAAACAAUGCUCUGAUACGAAUUUGUCACACCCGAAAACCAUGAACGGCGGAAACGUUCUGGGGCGGAGGACGUCAUGUACAGUAUCACAACAAUGAAUAAUAGUAAACAAGCAACAACAUCAUCCAUUGCAUUAAUAAUAUAAUUUCAUACAUGUGUGUUCUAUCAAGUUAUAUAGACACCAAAAUAUACAAAUCAAAAUAAAAGACGAGUCUUGAACGAACUCCAUCUUCUGGAAACCUGGCACCUGUAUCCUGCUACCGACUCUAGUAAAACGACGAUGUAAGAUGCCGUAAGAAAUGACAUUUGGCACCUGCAGACUUUCAAGUCCCACUGUAGCAAGCAGCAAGGUGUAUGAUAGUCAAUCCAGUAAAGAUCUAUUCGCAAACUCAUACGCUUCCCAAUUAAGGAGAUUCUGGAUACAAAAACAGUCAUGGCAGGAAGUGCCAUGACCCGUUUAAUGGUUUAGAUAACUGCAUGAAUGUACAUGUAAUGAAUGUGCUAACUAUAAAGUGUACUCUUUCUCUGUCUAGCCUGUACGUGUUGUAAUGUUCUGCAUGUGCUAGCCGUAAUGUGUGUUCUCUCUCUUUCUAGCAUGUAUAGUAAGGUACUGUGUGUACUACUCGUAUUGACUCAUGAAUGAACUGACUCAUUGUAUGUUUCAUUGUUCUAGUAAUAGUAUUAGUGUCUUCCUGUGCUACCCCUAUGGUAACUUACUAGAAAUGUAUGAUCAUGAUUGUAAACCGUUGCUACCCAAAGGUAUGGAACUGAUUGGAAGAACUUUUAUGUCUAUAUAUGUAUACAUAAUAUAUAACUAAUGGAUAGACGACCUUCGGACGGAUAACCGAUGCCCACAAGCCACAUCCUAACGAGGAAAAGGAGAUAAAGCGAGCUGGCAUUCCUAAGUCCUUUAAUCAUUCCUUAUAUAACUAUACACACAUAGGCAUGCACUUGAUAAUAAGUAAAAAAGAUUUUUAGUAAAAGUAUUUGAUAAGUAAAAGAGUUUGUAAAAUAGUUUGAAGUCAAACAGUUUGAUAAACAGUUUGAACAGUAAGCAAACUACUGGUUUGGUAGUUAUUAAUCACAUGUAAUUGAUGUAAUAACUAUAAGUAUUCAACUUGUAUUCCCCCCCCCCCCCAUAAAAGCAUUGAAAAACAUUUAAACCAUUGAUUAAGGGGUAUGAACUCACCUAUAAUGAGUGGUACGGAUGAACUGAAUGAUGGGUUUUAGCCAUAAGAACUUUCCUAUGUGCGCAUGCAAAACCCUAAUACUUGGAUCUAGGCUUUCUAGUUAAACAUGCUUUGAAUCCAAGACUUCUAAUGACUAAUUAGGUUAAAUAACAACAUUGAAACAGAUCUAGAAUCAUACCUUUGAGUUCCUUGUUGAUCUUGAGGUCUUGGAGCUUCUAGAGUCACAAAUGUCACUCCUCUAAUGGCUUACAAACACCAAUAGCAAGGAAGAUGAUUUAGGAGAGAGGAGAGGGGAGGAAAUCGGCCAGGGUUCUCUUACUUUAGGUGAGGUGCCGAUUUGCCUUAGCUAUGGGGUCUAUUUAUACUUGUAGACUCCUUAAGGGUUACAACCUAAACCCUAAUUGGAUAAUCUUCUCUUAAGGCUAUCCAAAUCCUUUCCAUAGAUAAGUCGUUGGACGAUUUUGAAGCUAUCCUAGCUUCUAGAAUCCGUCCACUAUAUAUCUAUAAGGAUUUAUAGUCUAAAGCUUAACUAUCAAACAAUUGACAGUUUAUACCCCUUUAUUUAAUUAAUCUCUUUAAGUCACCAAAUUAAUUCUAAUUAAUUCUAUGACUUAUAUUAAUCAAAUAACAAAUAUAUUAUUCAUUAUAUUAUUCUCAUAAUAUAUUAAUAAUAUUUACUCUCUCUUAAUAAAUCAUCCUAUCAAGUUGCUAUGGUGAAGGCAACCCAAAAGGACCAUGCACAACCGGAUCAAAUACUUGCCUAAUAUAGUUACAGCCUUAGACACUAUUCCAACAGUCUCCCACUUGGAUAAGUCUAGUAACUAUACAAGUACAAUUCGGUUUGCAAUCGUAGCUCUCAAAGACGCUGUCAACUCUGAUCUAAUCAAUCUUGUCCUUUAGAUAAGGGAACGUACAGUCCUCUGUUAGAUAUCAUGCUGACAAUCCUAUGGAAUGGUUAGUCAAGCAUUUAGGUUUCUCGAUCUCUGAUUUAUUUGACAUAGAACUUAAUCGAACACAUCAAUUCAGUUCUGACCGGGCCCGGCACAUAAGUCAAAUCAAAUCAUCGAGCGGCCGAGAUAUCGCUUUUACCUUCUUAGAUAAAAGUUACAGAUAAACUUCGACUUAUAUGCAUUUACUUAUUCAUUUACCAACUAUACACAACAAUACGUUUUAUAACACCAAGUUACUGAUGCGUUUUCGUAUUAUCAAUGUACAAUCAAUUAACAAAUAAUAAACCAUAUAUCUAGGUUUUAAGACUAUAUGAUAUUAUCGUCUUGCGAUCACCUUUUAUAUCGUAUUCCAUAAGGUGAUUCCAGCAAGCGCGGGUUUAUUCCAAUGCUCAAAACUAGUUCAUAAGCACUCAUGAACGUUGCAGCAAUCCUUUGCUAUGUCUAACACCAUUUAGACAUUCUACACACCAAUUCAUGACAAUCUUCAUUCAUAUCUACUCCCAACAUAUGAACGAUUGUGGACCAUUUGAACAAUUCGAUUAUUCCUAAUAAACUCAAUUAUUCUGGAAGUCAAAACAUGCAAAGUGAAACAAUAGCUAAACAAUUAACAUAAGAUAGUAACAUUACUCAUAAAUAAAACUCCUUUAUUUAAUCAUCAAAUGUUAAUUACAUUUAUCUAUUACACGUUUCUAAUACUAUCUAAUCUAUGCUAAUAUCAUCCUUCAGCCCAAUACUCCUAGCAUGCUGCAAGUGCUUAACCCUACUCAGUCCCUUCGUAAGCGGAUCUGCUGGGUUAUCUUCUGAUGAUAUCCUCUUCACUACGAGUUGUCCUUCUUCUACACGAUGUCUAAUGAAGUGAUACUUUCUGUCGAUAUGUCUUGAUCUACCAUGAUCCCUCGGUUCCUUGGUUAAGGCAACCGCGCCUUCGUUAUCACAGAAAAUCUCCAUUGGCUCCUUUAUGGCAGGUACAACUCCAAGAUCACCGAUGAAGUUCUUUAGCCAUAUUGCCUCCUUCGACGCUUCGCUCGCUGCAAUGUACUCUGAUUCGCACGUUGAAUCAGCUACGGUUUCCUGCUUGGAACUCUUCCAUGUCACUGCUCCUCCAUUUAGGGUAAAGACCCAGCCCGACUGCGAACGGUAGUUGUCCCUGUCGGUCUGAAAACUGGCGUCACUAUACCCUCGCACCUUCAAGUCAUCACUCCCUCCGAGGACUAAGAACCAUUCCUUUGUCCUCCGAAGGUACUUAAGGAUAUUCUUCACCGCAAUCCAAUGUGCUUUGCCAGGAUUCCCUUGAUAUCUGCUAACCAUGCUCAAAGCGAAGGCUACAUCAGGGCGAGUACAAGUCAUAGCGUACAUGAUUGAGCCAACUGCGGAAGCGUAUGGUACUCGGCUCAUUUCUGCUAUCUCAGCUUCGGUACUCGGACUUUGAGUCUUACUCAAUUUGGCAUUACUUUGUAUCGGUAGUUCUCCCUUCUUUGAGUUUUCCAUACUAAAACGUUUUAGUACCUUCUCUAAGUAAGUAUUCUGACUAAGUCCAAUUAGUCUCUUACUUCUUUCUCUUACUAUCCUUAUUCCCAAAAUGUAAGAAGCCUCUCCGAGGUCCUUCAUAGCGAAGCACUUCCCGAGCCAGGACUUAACCUCCUGCAGAGUCGGGAUGUCGUUUCCUAUGAGUAAUAUGUCAUCGACAUAUAGAACGAGGAAGCUUACUAUACUCCCACUGGCUUUGACAUAUACACAAGAUUCGUCUUCGCUUCGUACAAAUCCAAACUCUUUGACUUUCUCAUCGAAGCAAAGAUUCCAUCUGCGAGACGCUUGCUUAAGUCCAUAAAUGGACUUCUCAAGCUUACACACUCUAUUCGGAUGCUUCGGAUCCACAAACCCCUCUGGCUGAGCCAUGUAAACAUCCUCAGCCAACUUUCCGUUAAGGAAAGCGGUCUUGACAUCCAUUUGCCAAAUCUCAUAAUCAUGAAAUGCGGCAAUAGCUAGCAUCACUCUAAUAGAUUUAAUCUUCGCAACUGGUGAGAAGGUCUCAUCAUAGUCAACUCCGGGAGUUUGAGUAAAGCCCUUCGCAACCAAUCGCGCUUUAUAUGUGUGUACGUUUCCAUCCACGUCGGUCUUCUUCUUGAAGAUCCAUUUGCACCCAACGGUCUUACGUCCGGGCACAUAAUCAACCAAAUUCCAAACUUGGUUAUCAUACAUGGAUUGGAUCUCGCUAUCCAUUGCCUCUUUCCAUUUUGCAGACUCCGGGCCUGCCAUGGCUUCCUUAUAGCUAUUAGGUUCAUCAAGAUUUACUAGUGUACCAUCACUAAUAUACGUGUCCCCUUCGGUAGUAAUAUGAAAGCCAUAAAACUGGGGAUGAACUCUAACUCUAUCGGAACGUCUAAGAGGUAAGGAUUCGUCAAUCGGUUCAACCGGAGUUUCCUCCUCGGGUUGAGUGCCAGCGGUAGAGGUUCCUUCAUCUAUCGACUCUUGAAUCUCUUCAAGUUCGAUUUGCCUCCCACUGUCUCCUUGGCUUAUGAGUUCUCGCUCUCGGAAAACUCCUCUCCUCGCAACGAAGACAACAUUGUCCUUCGGUCUAUAGAAGAGAUAUCCAAAGGAUGUCUGCGGGUAGCCGAUGAAAAUACAUCGCUCACUUCGAGGUUCAAGCUUGUCGUGAGUAUCUCGUCUUACGAAAGCCUCGCAACCCCAAACCUUGAUAUGUGCCAACGAGGGAGCUUUCCCUGUCCACAUCUCGUGAGGUGUUUUGGCAACCUUCUUAGUAGGGACUCGGUUAAGGAUAUGGGCGGCAGUCUCUAAGGCAUACCCCCAAAAAGAGAUUGGUAGUGAAGCACGACUCAUCAUAGAGCGAACCAUAUCCAAUAAGGUUCGAUUACGCCUUUCUGCCACACCAUUCAACUGCGGUGUCCUAGGAGGCGUCAAUUGUGAAACUAUUCCACACUCCUUGAGAUAAUCGUGGAAUUCAAGACUUAGGUACUCUCCUCCUCGAUCGGAUCGAAGCAUCUUGAUUUUCCUGCCCAAUUGAUUCUCCACUUCAUUCUUGAACUCUUUGAACUUUUCAAAGGUGUCUGACUUUUGCUUGAUUAAGUAGAUAUACCCAUAUCUACUAUAGUCAUCGGUAAAAGUCACAUAGAAGCGGUUCCCAUCCUUCGUGGUUGAUCUAAACGGUCCACAUACAUCGGUAUGUAUUAGGUCCAAUAGACCCUCGCCCCUUUCACAUGUACUCGUGAAGGGUGACUUAGUCAUCUUUCCAAGCAAACAAGACUCGCAUGUGUCAUCUUCCCUAAGGUCGAAUGACUCCAACACUCCAUCCUUUUGGAGUUGGGCUAUGCGUUUCUUGUUGACAUGUCCAAGACGACAAUGCCACAAGGAUGCUUUAUCCAUACUAGUGGAAGAAUCAAUAUUCAAAACAUCAUUUCCUAAGUUAUCAACAAUCAUAACGGUUUCAUAUAUUCCAUUACAUGGUAUAGCUUCAAAGUAAAAGACACCAUUUAGAUAAGCCAAAAUAGAACCAUUCUCAUUAUUAAAAGAAAAUCUAAAUCCUUGUCUAUAUAAACCAUGAAAUGAAAUGAUGUUUCUUGCCAUUUCUGGCGAAUAGCAACAAUUGUUCAAAUCUAAAACUAAACUAUUCCUAAGCACUAAGGAAUACACUCCAAUCUUGGUCACAGGCGACGAUCUUCUGUUCCCCAUGAUUAGAUUGAUCCUUCCUUGCUCCACAUCCCUACUUCUUCUUAGUCCCUGCACAUUAGAACAAAUGUGAUAACCACAACCGGUAUCAAGAACCCAAGAAAUAGCAUGAUUAGAAUCGUUAGAUUUGAUUGUAUAUAUACCUGCGAAAGAUGGCUUGAUCUUUCCUUCUUUGAUUGCUUGCAGGUAAUCCGGGCAGCUUCUCUUCCAAUGUCCUAUCUUGUGGCAGUGGUGGCACUCUGCCUCCUUCGGGUUAGAGCAGGGCUUAGCGGGAUCAACUUUGGUCCCACUAGAAGAGGCACCAUCUCGGGCUUUCACCUUGCGAUAGUUCUUCGAUGAAGCUUUCCUCUUCUUUCCCUUCCCUUGUCCAAUAGCCAAGACAGGAGCAGCGGGCGGAUUGGGAGUAGGUGCAACAGACUUGUCUUUGAAGUUGCUCUCAGCAACCCUCAAGAGACCUUGGAGCUUGCUUAGGGUGACCUCUUCUUUGUUCAUGUGGUAGGUCAUCCUAAAUUGGUUGUACAUCGGAGGCAAAGAGUGAAGCACCAUGUCGAUCGCCAAGUCUUCACCGAAGUCAACAUUUAACUUGCGAAGGCGGUCGACAUACCUUUGCAUCUUUUGCAAGUGCACGGUAAGAGAUUCUCCAUGACCCAUCUUCGCGGAAAUCAUGUUAGUGAAAAUCUCGUACCUCUCUUGUCUCGCGUUUUGGUGGUACCUCUCCAAUAAGUCUUGGUGCAUCUCGUACGGGUACAUGUCCUCGUAGGACUUUUGGAAUUCGGAGUUCAUGGUGGCGAUCAUGAUGCAAUGUACCUUCGUUGCAUCUCGCUCAUGAGUUUCAAAAGCGGUGAUUUCGGCGGGAGUAGCAAUUUCGGGGUUGAUUUUCUCGAGCUUCUCAUCGAGGACAUACUCCUUAUCCUCAUAGCGAGCAAUGGUGCGAAUGUAUCUUAUCCAUUCGCUAAAGUUCGUUCCAUCGAAGGUGACCUUUUGGCAAAGGCUCAUCAACGUGAAAGAACUAGCAGCAGCGUUGUUUGCGUUCGACAUCUACAAUUAGAAAAGGACAAAGAUAGAUUAGAAUAAGAAUCCCUAAUUAUCACCCAAUAAGAAAAUUAGGGCUAGGAUCCAACAAUAACAUUUACAUACUAGAAAAGGGAUGCCGUAAUCUAACAUGCAAAUAAAUUGAAGGUAAGUGAAUGACGAUUCACUAAUUCUCCACCAAAAAACCUAACUAUUAGUCCUAAAUGUAUUGAGAAUUCCUAGGUUCGGAUGAGAUUCAUUGAAACUAUUCAAUGGCAUGUUUAAAUCUCGAUAUGCCCCUCUUGUUUGUGACUGGGAUACCGAGGAUCACAAAGCGGGUGUGAAUUACCAUGCAAAUUCACAUGGUGCCUUCAUUGUAACGAUCACCUAUUCGAUGUGCCGGUAAACCACACACGCUCCAUCGAACUAUGAUAAACAAUGAAUCACCCUUUGCCACCUUCGCUUAGAACCAAUUAGUGUGCCGGUAAACCACACACGCUCCACUAACAUCUUAGCAAGGUGCAAAGUGUAAUUUCAUGGGAUUGCAUCAAUUCACUUUUCCUAAAGUAACUAAGAUUGGGAAAUUUUAAAAUAUGUGUAGUUACUUUGUAUUUCUUAUUAUACUUUUAAUGAGAGGAUGAGGUUGCCCUAUCCUACCCGUUCGGCUAACGACCCUCCACCAAUCAAGCAAGCGGUGGGUGUGAGUGUACACCCAUUAAGCGCCAUUUUAUAGGCCGCAACCUUAUACCCACCUUAUAGAUCGGCUUCGUGAAUGAGGCCUACUAACGGUAAGACUAGCAUUUAGUUAUACAUAUAUAUAUUAUUCUAGUAAUAUCAUAUUAGUAUAGGGUUGUAUUUUAAAACUUUUAAAAUCUAGGGUUUGAAAUUUAAGUUGUCUAAAUUAAAACUUUUAAUCACAAAUAUAAAUUUCAAAACUUGAGGGCAAGUUUUAAACAUUUAAAACAUGGAGGAUCAAAUAACAAAUAAUUCCAAUUAACAAUUAAUAUCCUAAUUAUCUAUAUUUGAUUUUAUUCAAGAUUUCUUUGAAAGAUAAUUACCAAAAUAAUUAAAAUAAUUAAUUAAUUAUCAUAUAAGGAAAUUAAAUAUUUUAUUAGUUGAUAAAUACCUUUAACUAGAUCAAGAUAAUAGUCAUAUAUAUCAAAAAAUCGGAUUUAGAUUGAUCUAUUAUGAUUAAGGUAAGUUUCCAUAAGAUAAUUAUGAAAAAAUCCCGAAUCUGGCCAUUCCUGACGCCUGGACUCGCCGAGUGCACAAGGGGACUCGCCGAGUCAGGCCUACUCGCCGAGUCCACCUUGGAACUCGCCGAGUCCAUGACUCAGAAACCCAAAAAUCGAAUUUUGCAGGUUUGUUUCAGUUAAUCAAGCAACAAUUUAAUGAAAACCAAGCUAGGCUCUGAUACCACUGAUGGGUUUUAGCCAUAAGAACUUUCCUAUGUGCGCAUGCAAAACCCUAAUGCUUGGAUCUAGGCUUUCUAAUUAAACAUGCUUUGAAUCCAAGACUUCUAAUGACUAAUUAGGUUAAAUAACAACAUUGAAACAGAUCUAGAACCAUACCUUUGAAUUCCUUGUUGAUCUUGUUGUCUUGGAGCUUCUAGAGUCACAAAUGUCACUCCUCUAAUGGCUUACAAACACCAAUAGCAAGGAAGAUGAUUUGGGAGAGAGGAGAGGGGAGGAAAUCGGCCAGGGUUCUCUUACUUUAGGUGAGGUGCCGAUUUGCCUUAGCUAUGGGGUCUAUUUAUACUUGUAGACUCCUUAAGGGUUACAACCUAAACCCUAAUUGGAUAAUCUUCUCUUAAGGCUAUCCAAAUCCUUUCCAUAGAUAAGUCAUUGGACGAUUUUGAAGCUAUCCUAGCUUCUAGAAUCCGUCCACUAUAUAUCUAUAAGGAUUUAUAGUCUAAAGCUUAACUAUCAAACAAUUGACAGUUUAUACCCCUUUAUUUAAUUAACCUCUUUAAGUCACCAAAUUAAUUCCAAUUAAUUCUAUGACUUAUAUUAAUUAAAUAACAAUAUAUUAUUCUUUAUAUUAUUCUCAUAAUAUAUUAAUAAUAUUUACUCUCUCUUAAUAAAUCAUCCUAUCAAGUUGCUGUGGUGCAGGCAACCCAAAAGGACUAUGCACAACCCGGUCAAAUACUUGCCUAAUAUAGUUGCAGCCUUAGACACUAUUCCAACACUAAAGAUGUAGGAUUGCUAGGUGUUAAGUGAAGUCUUGAACACACUCUAAGAUCCUAGUUAACAUAUAAUAUCACAUAUAUAUGUAUCCAAUUCGUCUUUAAACAACUAAUAAACAAAGUCAAGACACCAUAGGACAUGAAAAACACCUUAUACAAGUGUUAUAAGUCCCAAGGAUUGCGUCUAAGUGUUGUAGGGAAAGGCUAGUGUGCUCGGGGUUCAAGGAAAACUCCAUUAGGGAGUUUACGGUUUUGUGGCCACAACCAAAAGAGUUUACGGUCAUAAACCCUUGAGUUUAAGGCCGUAAGCUCACACACUUUUUGACCAUUUGUUUUUUGACGCCUUAGAGUCCCUAAAAGCUUUUCUACUUGAAGGUUUAGUCCUCGGAAGAGAUUAGGGCACCAUUUCCCUCCUUUGAGGAGGUCACGGCCCUAAGACCAUUUCCUUUGUGUUUGCGGCCCUAAUCUCCUAUGAUUUAUGGUAUUUUGGGGCUUUCGAGUCCUUUUCUCAGCUAGGAAAGGACUUAGACAUUUUUCUAAGGCUAGAGAAGGACUUAGGCACACUUUGGUACCUUUACUUGGUGUUUACGGUCCAAGAACAUUCUAGGACCACGAACACCUAGCUCUUGGUGUUCUAGGGAUGAUUUCUUGAUGUAAAGAUGUAUAACAAGCUCUAUGAUACCCUAAGAUAGAAGUACUUACAAUAUAGCAGCUUGAAUUUAGCUAAAAGUCCAAGAACACUAGUAUGUGUUCUUGGUGUUCUUGGUGGAAAUGGAAGAAUCAACCUUUUGGAAUGUUUUCACGGUUAGAAGUGUGUUAAAACACUAGAUUAAGGAUUAUAAUCAAUUAAGAAAGCUAGAAUCGCUUACCAGAUUGAAGAUCUUGAAAAAAAUUUGGAUGAUACUUGAGAGAGAAAUGGGUUUGGAUCUUGAGAAUUUGGAAAAAGUGAAAAUAAUGACAAAUAGUCAUAUAUAUACCCCUAGAUUUAGGGUUUCUGGCUAUAAAUAUUUUUUUCAGGUCAGUAAACUCUAAUUUCUUGAAGUUUUGGAAUAAUAGUGUUGCACAAAACCCUAUUGCAUCCUCUCUCAUAAUAUCUCUUUAAGUGUAAAUCUUGAAAUACUCAAACUUAUACUAAAAAGUCUGAAUAUUAACUACAACUGUUCUGACUUCUAUUGACUUGAUAUUGUUUGUACAUAAUAGAAAUUUCGGGUUGUCACACCUAAUAAGGCGUGCAAGCUUGAGAAGUCAAUCUAUAGACGUAAACAAGCAUCUUGUAGUUGGAAACUUUGCUUCCAUGAAAAUAUCAAGGAGUUUGGAUUUUCUAAAAUUUAGGAUGAGUCAUGUGUGUAUAUCAAAGCUUGUGGGAGUGUAGUGAGCUUUCUAGUUUUGUAUGUUGAUGAGAUACUUCUUAUAUGAAACAAGGUUCCAACUUUUCAAGAAGUGAAGUCUUGGCUUGGAAAAUGUUUUUCUAUGAAGGAUCUUGGUGAGGUAAUGUACAUUAUUGAAAUAUGGAUUUACAUGCUUAGAUAGAGACGUUUUUUAGCGCUUAUCCAAGGUACUUACUUGGAUAAAAUAUUAAAAUAGUUCAAUAUGGAGAAUUCCAUGAAAGUGGAUUUGUUCAUGCAUCAUACUAUUAGAUUGAGUAAGGCUUAAUGUGAUAGUAGUGAUACAUAAAUAGAUGCAAUGAGUCGAGUCCCAUAUGCUUUGGCUAUAGGAUUGAUCAUGUAUUCUAUGACUUGUAGUCACCCUGAUCUGGCUUAUGCUUUACCAUAGUAGGCGAUAUCAAGGAAAUCUUGGCACAACUCAUUGGACAAUAUCGAAGAACAUACUUAACUAUUUACAAAAAAACAAAAGAUAUGAUCUUAGUUUUUGGUGGAAAAGAUGAACUUCAAAUGAGUGCUGAUAGUGUCGACUUUCAAAUGGGUCAUGAUAAUAUUUAUUCGCAAUUUGGUUGUGUAUUCCUAUUAAAUGGUGAAGCAGAUACUUGGAAAUGUUCCUAGCAGCAGACGAUGGUUGAUUUACCUAUGAAUCAGAGUACAUCACAACAAAUGAGGAAGAAAAGGUAGCAGCAUGGUUGAAGAACCUCAUUGUAGACCUUCGAGUUUUUGCAUUAAUCGAAAAUCCCAUUGAGAUUUUCUAUGUCAACAAAUAUGCGGCUGCUUUGACAAAAGAACCAAAGGAUCAUGGGAGAUCAAGGAAAAUGGAAAGAAAAUACCAUUAUAUCUGACAUCAAGUUGUAGAGGGUAUGCUCGUGGUGAAUCAUGUCUCAUCAGAGAAUUUUCAUCUAGAUCCUUUCAUAAAAAGGUUAAGCAAGAUUAACCACUUCGAUCAUGAUAGGAGCAUUGGAUUUAGAGAUGAUAUUAAGUUUUAGUAGUUAGGUGAUAGUUUUGAAACAAUGUAACAAAAAAAUUGUAAUUGUUUUUGGUGAUUAAGUAAUAGAGAGUUUUUAUGUGUUUUGACUACCAUCUUCAAUUGUUUAUUCUUGUGUUUCACUUUGCAUGUUCACUUCUUGAAUAUUUAUUUAUGCAAAAUGUCGUAGUCGGUUGUACUUAUGGGAGUAGGUCUUGAUUUAUGACUAUCAAGGAAUAUUUGUAGAUAAUCCAUGGUGAUUGGACAUUGCAUAAGGAUUGCUGCAACAUUCAUGAGUACUUGAAAAUAGGGAUUUUAAGUAUUGGUUAAACCCACACCUAUAGAUUACUUCAUGAUUCAAUCACAAGUAAUUAUAAGACGAUAAUAUCUUCUAUUCAUGAAAGAGAGAUAUACAAGCUAUAGUUUUCAAGUUCUUUAUGCAUUGGUUUUGCAUCAACACAUCCAUAACUGGAUGUUAUAAAAUGUAAUUCCAUGUAUGGAAUGAUGAGUAAAAGUUAUGAUUAUAUUGUCAAAGUUUAUUCGUCCCUUUUGCCUAUUAACGAAAAGCAAUUUCUUUGGUCCCCUUAGAGAUUUCACGUUUAUAUUAAAGUGUUGAAACUAAAUGAUGUGUUCAAUUCAUAGUCUAAUGACGUCAUCAUAAAUCGGAAAUCGAGAAAUAGAAUCAUGGACCAUGAUAUUGAUUUGUAUCCAUGUCUCGUGUCCAUAUGAUAUAUUUAAUAACGAAGGAAUAACUGGCGUCUAAUUUAAUCAGAGUUUAAUAGUGGAUUUGGGAAGCACUUUAUACUAGUUAUUCAAAGACUAUACUAGCAAUUGUAGUUCACGACUUAUCCAAGUGGGAUUCCGUUGGAUUAGGCUAUCUAAGCUCUUAAGUACAUUGGUAUAAUCUUAGUGAAUUAAAGUAAAGUCCUUUUUAGGUUUCCCUCUUAACUAUAAAUAGUUAGGAUUGAUAUUAAGAAAGAGAUAAGAUGAUUUGUUAAUAUAUUAUAUGAUUAAUAUAUUAAUUAGAAAUAGUUAAUAAUUAAUUAAGAAUUAAUCAAAAUUAAUUAGAAGUUAAUUUUGGCUUAAUUAAAAUAAAUUAAAGGUGUAAGGGUUGAACUGAAAUUGUUAAUAGUUAAGCAACGGUGACAAUUCUAGAACCUCUCAUACCAUGGAUUUUUUAGGAAGUUCUAGAUAUAUUCUGGAAGCCUCUUAUAACAUAUAAGGAAAUAGAUUUGAAUUAGGUUAAAAAAUUAUUUUUUCAAUAUUCAAAUCAGGGUUUCUAAAAUAGAGUCCUAACCCUAGCCAAAACGGAUCCCUGCACAACAUAUUGAGAAAACGGUUUUCCUUCUCCCUAAAUUUUGAUCCUAGGGUUUGGGUGUGAACCAUUAGAGACAUCCACAUUAUUGGUGCUUUCUUUCAAAGGAAGAACUCAGGAGUAUUGUUCGCAUUAUUCGACUUUCGCAAAAGUUAUGUAUUCUAACUUUGUAAUUUUCGAUUUACAUAGGUUAGAACUUUGUUUUAUAAGUACGUAGCUAUAACUUGAGAAAAUGCCCUAAACUUCUAGGUUUCAUGUUACCAUAAUUUUUUUAUGUUUCCACUAUGCAAUUUUUCCUAUUUGUAACCUAGAAAGCUCAUCACUAUGUUGUGUAGAGAGUGGCUUGCCAUUUCUGGAGAUUCCUCCAAAGUAAAAUUCUAAAAAAAUUUGAAACAUUCGAACAUGGUAUGUGUUGAUAUAUGCUAAAAUAACAAGUUGUCUGUUCAAAAAAAGUCAACAGAUAUGCUUCCAGUAAACAUGCCUCUUGUUUAGCUUCCAGUGGAAUUCUAGCACGCUCUAUGCUUCCAGUAAACAUGCCUCAUGUUCAGCUUCCAGUGGAAUUCUAGCAGGUGAGUUCAUAAGCACAUUUUUUUAAUGAAAACCCGUUGAUGAAUCUAUGAAAUGUUUGUAUGUUUCCAAGAAAACCCAACAUUUUCUUUAGUAAAAAGGUAGUCUUAAACCCUAAGACUAAUUGUAAGUUCGUUAUUGAAUUUAGUUUUUGUGUAUGAAGGUACUUGUAUGAAAUCCCUGGCUACCACCAGUAGUGUAAGUAAUGCAUUGUAUGAACACCCUGGCUAACACCAAUAUAAUUAAUAGUUCUAUUACUUAAAAUAAAACUCUGAAUUGAAAUCCCUAGAAUCCUCUAGUUGUACUAUGUAGUAGUUCUAUUAAUGGAAAUAAAACUAUUGAAGACUAAAAAUCCCGUAAAAAAAGUUAGUUUAUACUGUUGUGAGUUCGUAUAACCUUGCUUGAUAUGACCUAGUGACCUCUACAACGUUCUUGUUGGAUUAAUGUCUAAGUCCAUAACUAUAUUUGGUAUGUACUCUAUCCGACCCGGCAUGGUCCAUUUGGGUUGCACUUCACCAACACAAUUUAUAUGGAUAGUCUUUUGAGAAUAGUAUAUUUAUGAUUUAUUUUAAUAUAUUAUAUAUUCUAAUAUAUUAAUAUAUAAUCAUAUUAUUUAAUUAGUAUUGAUCAAGAAUUAAUUUAUAAUUAAUUAAGUGAUCAAAAAUGAACUAAUUAAAUAUGGACUCUUAUAUAUAUGGAAUGCGCCAAGUUUAUUUAGGUUGGGCUAAGCUUUCAUGGAUAGUCCAUGGAGCGUUUAACCCAUGGAUCAUAUGAAAUGAAAGGUCAUGGGUUUAACCCUAGUUUCCAUAUUAUAUAAAGAUGUCCUUGGUUGGUUAAAUUGGCACUAGUGUGAUACGUUAAGAAGGGCUAGCCGAUUUCACUAGAGAGAACCAAGUAUCCAUAUUCUCUAAAGUCUUCCAAGGUGUUUUGGUGAUUUUUGAUUCCAUUUUAGGCUUCCACACUAUUGGGGCUAAGCUCUUAAAGCUUGAAGACAUCAAGCUACAUCAAAAGGUAUGUCAUGUAACUAGUACUUAGUAGUAUAAGAGCUUCAUAAUAUGCAAGUUAGGAUUAAAGCCUUGGAAAGUUCUUAUUUGCAUGUAUAAUAGAGAAAACAUAGAUCCAAGAUUUAUAGGGUUGCAUGUACACCAUAGGAGUGUUAGAAUGCUCAAAACCGAACAUUGGUAUCAGAGCCUAGGCUUGUUUUCUUGUUAUACUUGCAAUAGAAGCUGAAAAAUCGAGUUUUGUUGCUGUCUGCCCAGCAGAGUCACCGAGUCCAUGAAUGGACUCGUCGAGUCCAAGGCAAAAUGCAUCCAACUCGCCGAGUUGGUUCGUGCACUCGACGAGUUGGACCCCCAGACAGCAUAAAUUCGACUUUUUUGGCUGGAAUUGGACUAGGAACAUUACCCUAAGAUGUUUUUGGACUUAUAAACUUGUUUUUGAUGUGGUAAUGUUCAUGCUAAUCCAAUUUCAAAGAUAAUUGUCAAUAGAUUCAUGUUUUGUAUUAGUUUAAGGUUUAGACUAAUUACAUGAAAAAGUUUGAUUUGAAUUAUCUUGUUCUUAUGAGUUGCUUAGAUUAAUAGAAAAGUUAAGUGAAAUAGUUGUUUUCAAUCCAAAUUAAUCUAAGAGUUGAUUCUAAAAUGUGUUUUUGUAACUUGUCCUCAAGUUAUAUGAAAAGUCACAUUUAAGUUUCAUAAAACUCAUAAAAGUUGGCAAAGGUUACAAAAAUGAAGAGUCUAGUUCUAAUUAAAUGAUUUUAUGACUCCAUAACUUGUCCUCAAGUUAUGGAGGACCAAGAGUCUCUUCAUUAAAUAAUAAAAAAAAAAAAGGUGUAACCUUAAUUAAUUCCAUAAGUUAUAAAAUAAAGAAAAGUUAAUUCUUUUAUUAGUUUAAAGUCUUCCAUAACUUGUCCUCAAGUUAUGGAACUUGAAGAGUUUUUGGAUUAAAACUACUUUAAACACAUAAGUUAUGGAAUUAAUUAGUUUUGAAUAGUUUCAAAACUUGCCCUCAAGUUUUGGAAUUUGUAAAGUUUUCACUUAUGAAUACUUUAAUUCCAAGUUAGCCCUUAGAAUUUUAAAAGUUAAAAUUCAACCCUUAUACUUUAUAAUAUUAUAAGUUAAUAAUAUAUAUAUGUAUAAGAGUAAAGUCAGUCUUACCGCUAGUACGCCUCAUUCACGAAGCCGGUCUAUAAGGUGGGUAUAAGGUUGUUGCCUAUAAAAUGGCAACUUAAUGGGUGUCCACUCUCACCCACCGCUUGCUUGACUGGUGGAGGGUCGUUAGCCGAACGGGUUUGACAGGACUAUAAUUCUCCCUUCAUUAAAAGUAUUAAUGAUAAAUACUAAGUAACUAAACUCUUAUAAGUACCCAAUCUUAGUUACUUAGCAAAAUGUGAAUAAGUUGCUAAUCCAUGAAAUUACACUUCGCACUUUGUUUAAGUCGGUUAGUGGAGUGUGUAUGGUUAACCAGCACACUAACUCAUAUUUAACAAGGUAGGCAAAGGGUAACUUAGUGUUUAUCAUAGUAUCGAUGGAGCGUGUGUGGUUAACUAGCACAUCAAUUGAGGGGUAAACACUUAAGGGUACCAAGUAAUUUGCGUGGUUACUUCACACCUUGUUUUGUGAUCCUCGACAUCCCAGUCACAAAACCUGAAGGGCACACUCGAGAUUGAAACAUGCCAUUGAACAGUUCAAUGAAUCUCAAAGAUCUAGAAGUUUCAAAACCAAUUAAAACCUAAUAAUACAUUUCGUUUAUCUUGGUGGAAAUUGGUGAAUCGUCAUUCACCUACCUUCAAAUAUUUUAUAGCUUGGAUUACGGCAUCCCUCUUCUAAGUUAUAAAAUAGUUUGUUGGGUCCUAGCCUUAAUAUUUCAUAUUGGGUGUCAUAUUAUGGACUUUAGAUCAACUAUC
rnacentral:lncRNA from 1 species